AUGGCCGCGAUGGCCAUCCUGAGCACCACAUCGGCGGCAAUCUACAACGUCGGCGAGCCAGGUGGUGCAUGGGACCUCAGCACCAACUACGGCACCUGGGCGUCCUCCAGGAACUUCCACCCCAACGACCAGAUCAUCUUCAAAUACUCUCCUCAGGCACACGACGUCCUCGAGGUCAGCAAGGCCGACUACGACUCCUGCAGCGCCGCCAGCACCAUCGCCACCCUCAACUCUGGGAAUGAUGUCGUCUCCCUCACUGCCACCGGCACCCGCUACUUCCUCUGCGGCUACCCGGGCCACUGUGCCGGGGGAAUGAAAGUCAAGAUCGACGUCGUGCCAAGAUCAUCCUCUUCCUCGCCGGCCCCGUCCAGCGGCCCCCAGUGCAAGCAGUGCUCCCCCGCCGGCGCCUGUCGCAGCCGCCACCUCUAUGGAGGCCACAGGGUUUGGCCUCACCAUCUUGCUUGCCGUUGCCGGUCUCAUGGCUUGAGUGUGUCUCUAAAAAAGACAUAGAAGUCACUAUUAUUAUCAAGCAUCUGUGGUGUACAUUGUAUAGUCAAGUAAUUGUAUCGUACAUUGUAUGUAUUCAGGCUUCACGUUUUGCAUAUUCAUUUUGGAGGAUGAGUAAUAAAGAUUUUUUUAGUAUUAUACAAUAUUUGACCCGAAACAUGUUCACCAACCAUAAGAAGCCACCCUCAGCUCCGGAAUGAUGUCACCCCCUGUCGGUGCAACAAACCCUGGGUCUGUUGCCCGUACUGUGCACAGGCACGGGAGCAGGAUUGAUGCAUCAACCCAAAUCAGAGUGCAAGGAACCAAGAUCUUAGGAGGACCAACAUGCAGAUCAAGAGGAUUGUGGUCAAGCCAGAGAAAAGCCUCCCUUGCCCGGCAGACGAGCUCGACAAGGGCGGGGUCGCCCCUAGAAGAGGACGUCCAAGACGUCCCGGCAGGGCCCGCCGGGACUCGCGGAGGCCAAACCACCUCACACAACCACUCCGCCACGACCCACGUCGUCAAUCAGUGUGGUGUCAAGCCGCAAGAUAAUUAAGUGGCAGCCGAUCGCCACAUGACAUCCUCUUUCUACAGGAAAUGCCUAUAGAUGACACCCGUCCUGCAACGUGUCAAGCGAGCAGGCGUGGAGCUGGCGAGACGGCCCGGCAGGGCUUGCCGGGCAACCAACGAUGUGACAUUGAGCGGCGCAUUUAAUGCGCUCUGUCAGCCUGCAGAGUUAGGUAUGAUAGCACUGUUUGCUAUCUUAUCAGUGCAUAAUGACUGAUUUGCCAUUGUGGUGACCCCUUAAUCUAUAAAAGGAGGUCCAUGGCAACCGUAGAAAGGGUUGUUGGAAGGUAGGAGAACACACACCAAUACGCGCGUAGCCACUGCCGCCCUUGCCGGGCAAGUGUACUAUGCUCCACCGCCAUUUUUCCACCAUCAAUCCACCAAAGCAGGAGUAGGGUUUUACGCCUCACGCGCAAAACCGGCAAACUCAGAGCGGUCUCUGAAAGUGAAUAGGAGCAUAGCGGCAUCAUCCAAGCGAAACACGUCUCCUCAGUCAAGGGCGGUAAAGCCCAUUAAAAAGAGUGCCACGCAGAAGCACCUCCUGUGUCACUCGAUCCAAACCCGACACAUCUUUCUUUCUAUACAAAAUGAGUUCGACCUUUUUUUCAAAAUAGAAACAGAAAAGAAAUUUACGGCCUGAACCUGGGUAAAAUUGCCUGUGUGAUCGCUGCCGCACUGUCCCACGUUCUUCUGCUCUUUGUGCAACGACCCCCCUGCCGAACCAGCAAGGGGCCAUUGGUCCCAUAGGUGGCCGUGGUUCCCCACGACAUCUUUGGUGCGCCAGGUAGGAGGAUCGCUUGCGCGAACCUGAAGGCGUACGCAGCGCGUCAUCUUCAUCACCGUCUUCAUCUUUGACGGCGCCAUCGGCCAUGGUGCCCAAGAAGAAAUCCGGUGCUUCGGCCCAUGCAUCCACCUCGAAGGCUCCGCCGACCGCGGUCUCUAAUGCUGCGGAGGCACGCGAGGGCGUGGACAUUGCGGGGAAUGUAUUCGGCGCAGGCGGCACCCUCACCGCUUCCCUCGUAGCCGACACAGGAGCAGGGAACAUCGGAGGAGAACAACAUCAACAAUGCACCGAUGGCCACGCUAGGGGCUACUCCAUCCGCACCCCUUCCUCCCGCCGACGGGCAUAGUCGCAGCAACGGCGCUCGGUCUGGGGCGAAUCGCCGCCCUCCGGCCGCCCCCAUCAUAGGAGUGACCAUAGCGCGUGCGCCUCCCCCGGGAUAGGUCGACCAAGUCGCUGCGCGCGACGGAGCCCCUGGCCCCCUGGCGCCCUCUCUGCGCCACCCUACUAUCCAGGUGUCCGCCCCGCAACAGCGGGGGCGCGAUGCUGCCGCCACUGGCAUGAUCAGGAGCCAGGCGACGGUGCGAUCUACUUCAUCAUCACCCAUGCCAUGUACAGCCACGGAGGCCAUGGCACGGGCUCAGCUGCUGGUGAGGUUUCCGCCAGUGGUGGAGCAGAUGGACGAAUGGCGUGCCACCCUCCAAAGUCUGCUCGGUUUCGCCCAGGCUGGGGGCUCACUGCGAGCUGGCCUGCCACGGCCUCCUCAAGCGACGACAACGGCUCGUGCUGCUGGCCGUACGGAAGGGGCUACCCCCAGGGUGCAGUCCCCGCCACGGCAGCCAGCGUGGACACAGCAGAAUCAAGCACCUGACGACGUCUCGAUGGCCUCUUCUAACCCUCGAGCACGUCCAGGCCGACGGCCAGCCCCGGAGGAUAGGCGGGUGAGAGACGCGCGCGUCGUCGUCGAGCGAUGCCGUAACGACCACUGCCGAACCAAUGGGUGUGAUGGCCCCGACAUCGACGAGCCUGCACUCGGUAUUGGCAGGUGCCUACCUUUCGAGGUUGGGUGCCCUGCCUUUACUCGUGAGCUACGGCAAGUCCGUUCGCCGUCCGUUCGCACGUUCAAGCUAGAGAUACCCGAGAAGUAUGAUGGGAGGCUGAACCCGGCAGAGUUUUUCAGCAUCUACACCAUCGUUGUUCAGGCUGCCGGGGGAAGAGAUGAGAAGGUGUUUGCCAACUACUUCCCUUUGGCUCUCAAGUCCAAUGUGAGGUCUUGGCUGAUGCACCUGCCGAAGAACUCCAUCUCGUCAUGGGCUGAUCUGUGCCAUGAAUUCAUUGGCACCUUCACUGGCGGCCAUCAAGAGCCAAGACGACCCAGCGAUUUGCAGCUUCUCCAACAGAAGGAAGGAGAGACCCUCCGUAAGUAUUUACGGAGAUUUAGUAAAGUCCAUAGGAAUAUCCCAAAUAUCCAUCCGGCAGCUGUGAUAGCUGCCUUCCAGUCCAAUGUGUGCAACCGCCGGAUCAGUUCCAAGAUGAACGUGUGGUUGCCCAAGACUGCGAAGGAGCUCUAUACCUUGGUGGAUAAGUGUACUCAGAUGGAGGAGGGAAGGAAAUUGCCUGGAGAGGAAGAUUGCACCAACAUUGAUUCUGAGGAUGAUGAUGAAUCAACCAGUCAGAAGAAGAGCAAGAAGCGCAGUAAGAAGCGGAAGGAUAAGACAGUGAUGACUGUUGAAGGAUCGGGUACACUUAGUACCGGCAAGAAGGCCAAGGCCUCCCCGGCAAGGAAGCUGCCGUGUGCGCUGACUGCCGGUAGGCCGCAGUUGCCGAGAAGGCCGGGAAAGGUGAUGGGCCGUAUUGCAAGAUCCAUCAGACCAAAGGCCACGACCUUCAAGAGUGUUAUCAAGUUGAGCAGCUUGUUAAGAGACAGAGAGCAGAAUAUGAGAAGCGUGGCAACGAAAAGGGUCAGAAUGUCGCUGGCGGUAAGGGCCGAGGCGGUGAAGUAAUCGCCCCGGGAAACCCUUCCCGAACCAAGGAAAACCCGCCAGAGGUCGAGAGAAGGAAACCUGUGAUGAUGAGAGCGAUGAAGGGGAUGAAGAGGAAACCAGUGAGCAGGAGUUUCAGAAGGCCACUGACGCCCUGUGCAUUGACGGGGGUGCAUCUUUGCACACCUCUCACCGCCAGCUCAAACGGUGGGCGCGAGAAGUCAAUGACGUAGAACCAGCGCCAGAGGCCCGAAAACCGCUCAAAUGGUCAUGCACGCCCAUCAUCUUUGAUGAAGAGAAUCAUCCUAACCGUACCACUACGGUGGGGUGUUUGCCAUUGUUGGUCUCUCCAACAAUUGCAACCUCAAGGUCACAAAGAUGUUGGUGGACGGCGGGGCCGGGUUGAAUCUGAUUUCCCCAGCAGUCAUCAACAAGCUGCAAAUAGCAGAGGAUGAGUUGAAGACCACCGGCACGUUUCAAGGAGUUAAUCCCGGCAGGAGUCAUCCUAAGGGAAAGAUCACGCUGUCGGUGACGUUUGGGGGAGAGCUGAACUACCGGACUGAGAAGAUUGUGUUUGAUGUGGUUGACCUCCCCCUGUCGUACAAUGGGAUCCUUGGAUGCCCAGCCCUGGCCAAAUUCAUGGCGGCAUCCCACUAUGCCUACAACACCUUGAAGAUGCCUGGGCCAAUGGGGAUCAUUACCAUCCCAUCAGAUGAGAAGGACACAAUCAUUUGCGUGGACAAGAUGUAUCGAGACGCGGUCGCGGCAGAGGCAGCGGCAGCAGCAGUUCCCGCCAAGGAGGACAGAGGGAAGAAGAAGGGUAGCAAGGACACUGGCAUGGAAUCCGGGAAGCGUACCUCUCCGGAGUACGCUGCGCCUGUUGAUGACUUGUCGGAGAGCUCCAACAGCAAGAGAUCGAAGGUUACUGCACCCCAAGUAAAGAAGGUCCCGAUAGGGCUGGCUGGCGUUGUUGGUACUUUCACUAUCAGCGCCACCCUCGAUGACAAAUAGGAAAGCGCGCUCAUUGCCUUCCUACGGGCGAAUAUCGAUGUGUUUGCCUAGCAACCAUAUGAUAUCCUCGGUGUUCCCAGGGAGGUAAUCGAGCACCACCUUGCUGUCUGCCCACACACCCAACCCGUCAAGCAGAAAGUCCGAAAGCGGGCCUUGGAGAGGCAGCAGUUCAUUGCGGAAGAGAUCAAGAAACUUGAAGCAGCUGGUUUGGUCAGGGGAGUCCUGCAUCCCACAUGGUUGGCAAAUCCAGUGGUAGUUCGGAAGGCUAACGGGAAGUGGAGGCUUUGCAUAGAUUUCAUAGAUCUCAACAAAGCUUGCCCGAAGGACCCGUUUCCCUUGCCGCGCAUCGAUCAGAUUGUGGAUUCCACUUCAGGCUCCGAUUUUCUCUCCUUUCUGGAUGCAUACUCUGGGUAUCACCAAAUAUUCAUGUCCAAGGAAGACGGAGAGAAGACAUCGUUCAUCACUCCAUGUGGUACGUACUGUUUUAUCCGCAUGCCAUUUGGAUUAAGGAGUGUCGGGUCCACUUUUGCAAGGGCAAUCCAGAUUGGUUUCGAGCCACAGCUGCACAGAAACAUUGAAGCUUAUAUGGAUGAUACUGUGGUCAAGACCAAGGAUAGAGCCACCCUUAUUCAAGAUUUGGAGGAGACAUUUGCUAAUCUGCGCAAGAUCAACUUGAAGCUCAACCCGGAGAAGUGUGUGUUUGGCGUUCCCUUCGGCAAGCAGCUUGGGUUCUUCGUGUCCAAUCGGGGGAUCGAAGCCAACCCUGACAAGAUUAAAGCUAUCGAGCAGAUCCAAGCACCAAGGACUGUCAAGGAUGUAAGGCGUCUGACAGGGUGCAUUGCCGCGCUAAGCAGAUUCAUCUCCAAGUCUGCCGAGCGCGCCCUGCCGUUCUUCAAAAUUUUGAAGAAGGCAGGACCCAUGAAGUGGACCCCGGAAGCAGAAGCAGCUUUGCAUGAAUUGAAGGCCUACUUGUCCUCUGUGUCCACCUUGGUUGCUCCCAAACCACAAGAGCCGUUGCUGCUAUACUUAGCGGCAACCAACCAAGCGGUUAGUGAAGCCUUGGUGGCACAGCGGGAACUGGAUGAAGCAGAGAGUGAGCAAGGACUGGCAGAGCCAGAAAAGGAUCAGGACAGUAAUGGGCACGGCAUCGAGAGCAACCCCAAGGACGCGGCAAGGAAGAAAGUGGUGCAGCGCCCAGUGUACUUCGUCAGCUCCUUAUUGCAGGGGGCUAGAUUGAGGUACUCUGGCAUGCAAAAGUUGAUCUUUGGUCUCAUCAUGGCCUCAAGGAAACUGCGCCACUACUUCCAAGCCCAUGAGAUUACGGUUGUCACUCGCUCCCGGUUGCAAAGGAUACUCCGAAACCCUGAGGCUACCGACAGGAUAGUGGAGUGGGCUUUGGAGUUAUCGAGUUUUGGUUUGAAGUUUGAGAGCACGACAACUAUAUAGAGCAGGGCAUUGGCAGAGUUUAUUGCAGAAUGGACGCCAACCCCUGAUAAGGAAGUACUAGAGACAAUUGUCCCCGACAAGGAAUCGCCCCAAGAAUGGAUUAUGUAUUUCGAUGGUGUAUUUCCCCUACAAGGUGCAGGGGCUGGCGUGCUUCUUGUUUCCCCCUCCAGGGAGCACUUGAAGUACGUCGUCCAAAUGCAUUUUGCCCGGGAAGAGGCAACCAACAAUACAACAGAGUAUGAAGGGCUGCUUGCCGGGCUAAGGAUUGCCGUAGAAUUGAGAAUUAAGAAGCUGAUCAUUCGAGGAGAUUCACAGCUCGUGGUGAGACAAGUCAACAAGGAUUACCAAAGUCCAUUGAUGGAGGCAUAUGUCGAGGAAGUGAGGAGAUUGGAGGAACGCUUUGACGGAUUGCAAACAGAGCACGUACCCUGUGCGGAAAACAUCAUAGCUGAUCAUCUGUCAGAAUGUGCUGCGCAGAAGCUUCCUGUGGAACCAGGAACUUUUGUUCUCCAUCUCACUCAGCCCUCCAUAUCCCCAGCAACAAUGGCCCGCAAAAGGAGAAAGUUGGACUCCGGUAAGCCUCUCCUAGUAGAGUCGUCCGCUCCCGACAAAGACCCUGCCGGAAACAACUCCUGGCCACCUGCUAGACCGCACCCUCCAGCCGGGCCCAUGGUCCCCGUGAACGAGGAAUGUGCCCCCGCAGUAGAGGAGGUGCCGCUAGACCUCGUUGCCAAGCCUCGGGCUCCAACUUGGGCAAGGCACAUAGUCCACUUCCUCCAAACCGGAGAGCUUCCCGGCGACCAAGAUGAUGCUGAAAAAGUAGCCCGGAGGCCCUGUAUGUAUCAGUUUGUCGAUGACACACUAUACAGAAGGAGGCCCAACGGUGUGAAAUUGAAGUGCAUCUGCCGGGAAGAAGGAAAUGAACUGCUCGCUGAGAUUCACAAAGGCAUGUGCGGCUCCCACAUUGGAUCAAGGGCAUUAGUUGGGAAAGCGUUCCGGCAAGGAUUCUAUUGGCCCAUAGCCCUCCAAGAUGCGGUCGAGCUAGUCACCAAAUGUGAAGCCUGCCAGUUCCAUUCCAAGAACAUCCACCUGCCUGCCCAAGAUCUUCAGACAAUCACUUUAUCAUGGCCAUUUUCGGUCUGGGGCUCGAUAUCCUUGAUACAUGUCCGUCGUAUCUACUUUUCCACACACUUUUGCCCUUGUUUUGUACUCUAACUUGCAUGAUUUGAAUGGAACUAACACGGACUGACGCUGUUUUCAGCAGAAUUGCCAUGGUGUUAUCUUUGUGCAGAAACAAAAGUUCCCGGAAUGACCUGAAACUCCACGGAGAUUAUUUUUGGAAAUAAUAAAAAAUACUGGCGAAAGAAUCAAGACCAGGGGGCCAACAGCCUGUCCACGAGGGUCAGAUGCGCGCCUGCCCCCUGGGCGCGCCCCCCAUGCCUCGUGGGCCCCCUGGAACUCCACCGACCUCAACUCCAACUCUAUAUAUUCACGUUCGGGGAGAAAAAAUCAAAGAGAAGGAUUCAUCGCGUUCUACGAUAUAGAGCCGCCGCCAAGCCCUAAUCUCUCUCGGGAGGGCUGAUCUGGAGUCCGUUCGGGGCUUCGGAGAGGGGAAUCCGUCGCCGUCGUCAUCAUCAACCAUCCUCCAUCACCAAUUUCAUGAUGCUCACCGCCGUGCGUGAGUAAUUCCAUCGUAGGCUUGCUGGACGGUGAUGGGUUGGAUGAGAUUCACCAUGUAAUCGAGUUAGUUUUGUUAGGGUUUGAUCCCUAGUAUCCAUUAUGUUCUGAGAUUGAUGUUGCUAUGACUUUGCUAUGCUUAAUGCUUGUCACGAGGGCCCGAGUGCCAUGAUUUCAGAUCUGAACCUAUUACGUUUUCAUGAAUAUAUGUGAGUUCUUGAUCCUAUCAUGCAAGUCAAUAGUCACCUACUAUGUGUUAUGAUCCGGCAACCCCGAAGUGACAAUAAUCGGGACCACUCUCGGUGAUGACCGUAGUUUGAGGAGUUCAUGUAUUCACUAAGUGUUAAUGCUUUGUUCCGGUACUCUAUUAAAAGGAGGCCUUAAUAUCCGUUAGUUUCCAAUAGGACCCCGCUGCCACGGGAGGGUAUGACAAAAGAUGUCAUGCAAGUUCUUUUCCAUAAGCACGUAUGACUAUAUUCGGAAUACAUGCCUACAUUACAUUGAUGAAUUGGAGCUAGUUCUGUGUCACCCUAUGUUAUAACUGUUACAUGAUGAACCACAUCCGACAUAAUUAUCCAUCACCGAUCCAAUGCCUACGAGCUUUUCGCAUAUUGUUCUUCGCUUAUUUAUUUUUCCAUUGCUAUUGUUACAAUCACUACAAAACCCAAAAAUAUUACUUUUGCUACCGUUACCAAUACUAUCAUAUUACUUUGCUACUAAACACUUUGCUGCAGAUAUUAAGUUUCCAGGUGUGGGUGAAUUGAAAACUCAGCUGCUAAUACUUGAGAAUAUUCUUUGGCUCCCCUUGUGUCGAAUCAAUAAAUUUGGGUUGAAUACUCUACCCUCGAAAACUGUUGCGAUCCCCUAUACUUGUGGGUUAUGAAGACUAUUUUCUAGCGCCGUUGCCGGGGAGCAUAGCUCUAUUCUUUGAGUCACUUGGGAUUUAUAUCUGCUGGUCACUAUGAGGAACUUGAAAGACGAUAAAACCAAGAUUUAUCCCUCAACUACGAGGGGAGGUAAGGAACUGUCAUCUAGCUCUGCACUUGAUUCUCCUUCUGUUUUGAGUAAACUUGCGACACCUAAACCUGCUUGUGCUAUUAAUUCUGAUAUGUCGCAUGUUAUUGAUGAUGCCACUUCUGCUAUGCAUGAUACUUAUGAUGAAACUACUUCUAUGCUUGAUACUACUGUGCCACUAGGUGAAUUUCUUGAUGAACAACUUGCUAGGGCUAGAGAGAAUGAAAUUAUUGAAAUUGAUAAUAUUGAUGAAAGUGAUGAUGAAGAUUCUCCCCCUAAAUAUGAAUUGCCUGUUGUGCCUGAGGGUUGUGUUAUGGAUGAAGAAACUGCUAGAGAUUUCCUUGCUUGCAACGAUAGAUCUGAUCUUAAGAAAUUAUUAGCUAAGCUUAAAGAAAAGUCUCUUAAUGCUAGAAUGAAAUAUGACCCUGCUUUUGCUAGUUCACCUAUCUUUGUUACUGAUAAGGAUUAUGAUUUCUCUGUUGACCCUAAGAUAAUUACCUUGGUUGAAUCUGAUUCUUUUUAUGGCUAUGAAUCUGAAACUAUUGUGGCACAUCUUACUAAACUAAAUGAUAUAGCCACCCUAUUCACUAAUGAUGAGAAAACUUGCUACUAUUAUAUCCUUAAGUUAUUUCCGGUCUCAUUAAAGGGUGAUGCUAAGACAUGGUUUAAUUCUCUUGAUCCUGGUUGUGUGCGUAGUCCCUAGGAUAUGAUUUAUUACUUCUCUGCUAAAUAUUUCCCCGCUCAUAAGAAACAAGCUGCUUUAAGGGAAAUAUAUAAUUUUGUGCAAAUUGAAGAAGAGAGUCUCCCACAAGCUUGGGGGAGGCUUCUCCAAUUACUUAAUGCUUUGCCUGAUCAUCCUCUCAAGAAAAAUGAAAUACUUGAUAUCUUUUAUAAUGGACUAACCGAUGCUUCCAGAGACCACCUGGAUAGUUGUGCUGGUUGUGUUUUCAGGGAAAGAACAGUCGAUCGAGCUGAAUUGCUAUUGAAUAAUAUGUUGACUAAUGAAAACAAUUGGACACUUCCCGAACCAACUCCUAUGCCAACUCUGAAGAAAAGGGGUAUUCUAUUUCUCAGUCCUGAAGAUAUGCAAGAGGCAAAGAAAUCUAUGAAAGAAAAAGGUAUUAAAGCUGAAGAUGUUAAGAAUUUACCUCCUGUUAAAGAAAUACAUGGUCUUAAUUUACCGCCUGUUCAAGAAACACAUGGUCUUGAUAAACCGACACAGGUAGUAAAGGUAAAUUCUCUCUAUAGAUAUGAUAAAGCUGAAAUUCCGCCUACUAAGUUUGCUAGCCAAUGCUUAGAUGAGUUUGACAACUUUAUGGUUAAGCAAGAAGACUUCAAUGCUUAUUUUGGUAGAGAACUAAAGCGCAAUGCUUAUAUGAUUGAACACUUGAGCGAUUAUAUGUCUAGAGUUAAAGGUGAACUUAAGCUCAUUAGUAAACAUGCUUCUAUGGUUACCACUCAAGUAGAACAACUACUUAAAGCUCAGAAUGAUUUGCUCAAUGAAUUAAAUAGUAAGAACAAUGAUUAUGCUGUUAGAGUUGCGACUAGAACGGGUAAAAGGACUCAGGAACCUUUGUAUCCUGAGGGCCACCCUAAGAGAAUUGAGCAGGAUUCUCAGAGAACUAAUGUUGAUACACCUAGUCCUUCUAAGAGGAAGAAAAAGAAAAAUGAUAGGACUUUGCAUGAUUCUAGUGAACCUGUUGCUGACACACCUGAGAAUCCCAAUGAUAUUUCUAUUUCUGAUGCUGAAACACAAUCUGGUAAUGAACAUGAACCUAGUAAUAAUGUUAAUGAUGAUGUUCAUGUUGAUGCUCAACCUAGCAAUAACAAUGAUGUAGAAAUUGAACCUGCUGUUGAUCUUGAUAACCCACAAUCAAAGAAUCAACGUUAUGAUAAGAGAGACUUUGUUGCUAGGAAGCACGGUAAAGAAAGAGAACCAUGGGUUCAGAAACCCAUGCCUUUUCCUCCUAAACCAUCCAAGAAAAAGGAUGAUGAGGAUUUUGAGCGCUUUGCUGAAAUGAUUAGACCUAUCUUUUUGCAUAUGCGUUUGACUGAUAUGCUUAAAAUGAAUCCUUAUGCUAAGUAUAUGAAAGAAAUUGUUACAAAUAAGAGAAAGAUACCUGAUGCUGAAAUUUCCACCAUGCUUGCUAAUUAUACCUUUAAGGGUGGAAUACCAAAGAAACUAGGAGAUCCAGGAGUACCAACUAUACCAUGCUCCAUUAAAAGAAACUAUGUUAAAACUGCUUUAUGUGAUCUUGGAGCCGGUGUUAGUGUUAUGUCUCUCUCUUUAUAUCGUAGACUUGAUUUGAAUAAGUUGGCACCUAAUGAAAUAUCUUUGCAAAUGGCCGAUAAAUCAACUGCUAUACCUGUCGGUAUUUGUGAGGAUGUGCCUGUUGUGGUUACAAAUGUUACUAUUUUAACAGACUUUGUUAUUCUUGAUAUUCCCAAGGAUGAUAGUAUGUCGAUUAUCCUUGGUAGACCCUUUUUGAAUACUGCAGGGGUUGUUAUUGAUUGCAACAAAGGCAAUGUCACUUUUCAUGUUAAUGGUAAUGAGCAUACGGUACACUUUCCGAGGAAACAACCUCAAGUCCACAGUAUCAAUUCUAUUGGAAAAAUUCCAACUAUCACUAUUGGAGGUUUUGAAUUUCCUCUUCCUACUAUCAAAAAGAAAUAUGAUAUUCUUAUUAUUGGGGACGUGCAUAUCCCCGUUGAGGUAACCUAGUGCUAUUCGAAAAUCUCCGGUUUCAUGCGAUUCGGAAUGAGUUUGUUAACAAGACUUGAUCAACCUUGUUAGUGGAUUCCUUUUGACGAGCAUGAGAUGGAUGAAGUUAGAAAGCACAACUCUCUGUACCCUCCUUUUACUUUCUGUUAUUUAGAUUAAAUAAAGCAAAAAUAGUAUUUUAUGUCUAUUUCCUGAGUUAUCCGUGCAAUGAAAAUUACCCCGAAAAUAAAAGUUCUCCAAAUGCCCCAAAAAUGAAAUAUGAUUUUUUCUAGAAUAUUUGAGAAUAUCUGGCACUGAGAACACAUCAGGGAGAGCAAGCACCUGGCCACGAGGGUCCAGGGCGCACCUUCCCCCCUGGGCGCGCUCCCUGCCUUGUGGGCCCAUGGUGGCUCCCCUCCACUCAUUCCUGCACCCACACACUCCUUCCUCCCAAAAAAAUCACCAACCAGCUCAAGCAUGAGUUCUAGCUCAUUUUGCUGCGAUUUUCGAUCUCCUUGCUCAAAGUCCCAUUCACAAAACUGCUUUGGGGGAUUGUUCUUGGGUAUGUGACUCCUCCAAUGGUCCAAUUAGUUUUUGUUCUAGUGCUUUAUUCAUUGCAAAUUUUUGCUGCUUAGGUGACCCUGUUCUUGAGCUUGCAUGUCAAAUUUAUUUGGUCCCAAGUAUUUUUAAUGUGUGAUAUAGUCUCUAGACACUUGUGGGAGUAGUUGCUAUCAAUCUUGUUGAGUUUGGUUCACUUUUAUUUUGAAGUUACUAAAAAUUUCAGAAAUUUUCAGAAAAUGAUGAAGAGAUUUUUGAGGGGCUCUUUGAGCCGAAGCUUGAAGGAUAAGCAAAGUGAAGAAGAAGAGAGGCCCAAAUAUAAUCUCUCUCGCACCGCGGAGGUUCGGCCGUGUGAAUGGCCUUGUGAUGAGUUCUUGAGAGCAGCCGGGAUUUAUGAUGAUUUUUAUGAGUUGGCUGAGAAUGCAGGCCUCACCGACUUCCUCCGCGACCAACGCGAACAGUAUCUUCUACUCACUAAUAUCUUCAUGCAAAAUUUUCAUUUCCAUUCUAGGAGGUCACCACCUUCGGUGGAUUUUUAUUUAUAUGAUGAGUACAAGGAGAUGACCCUUUAUGAAUUUUGUGAGGUUUCCAAGUUGCCCUUUUCGGGCAGCGUAGAGGAACCGCAUCGUAACGAUGUGGAGGGGUUUAUUGAUACAAUUUCUGUUGGGGAAACGAGGAAGGUUUCUGACGCAAGAAUUACUAGCAUACACUUUCCUGUUCUACGUUAUUUUGCAAAAUUUGCUAGUAGAUGCUUAAUUGGUCGCGGAAACUAUGGCAACCUUACGCCCCUGAUAUUGUUAUUUUGUGCCAUGAUUUGUUCCGUGAUGACACAUUUAGUAUGGGUGCUAUUGUUGCAAAACGGUUAAAUCUUCACCGUACUAAGGGCUCCAUCUUGGGAGGCAUCUUCGCCUCGUGCCUUGCUGCGUACUUUAACAUACCUAUCAGGCAUUAUGAGAAAGAAGAAAAGUUGAUGCCUACUGUUUUUCUAAACUACAAGAGUAUGGUUGCACAUGAUUUCAUUGUUAAGAACAAGAAAAAGGAGCUCAACUAUAGACUGUUAUUUGAUAAAAAUCAUCCUGAGACUAUUACUUUGCUUGGUCCUUCCUUGUUUGACUUAUCUGCAGGCAAGUACCUUGUUCCGCUGGAGGCCUCUCACGCCUACCGGAACCCCACAUCAGCUACAGAGCCAGAGCCGGAACCACAAUUUGAUCCUUCACGACAGUCUGUUUAUCAGUGGAAUCCGGAGGAGAUUGCCAACCAGUGGCAACCCGAGGCUCCAUCUCAGUACGACCCCAGUUACAAUUUUGGAUAUCCGCCAGGCCAGCCGUGGCAAUAAACCAACUUAGGCCAAAAGCCUAGGCUUGGGGGAGUACGUAUUUCUCACCGACAUUACAUUCAUGUUCACACACUCAUUCCAGUUGUCGGUGCUCAUACUUUUUCAUUGUACUAUCCAUGCUAGUUUAUUUUUCCUUUUUCUAGCUUUCUUCUUGUGUGUUCGAAAAACCUUAAGAAAAACAAAAAAAAUAUUUAGUUGUAGCUUUUAGCUAGUUUACUUUUCAUGCCUGUAGUAGUAAUAAUUAAAAGAAAACCCAAAAAGAUUUCUCGUUCUUCUUUUUGCGUGUUGGGAGCUUUCCCGUGUAAAUAGUUUUAUUUCUUUUCUUUUCUUUGGGGGUUGAUAGGAGAAGACCAUGAUGAAAUUGUGAAGUGGCUCUUAUAUGCAUUAUUGUUGAUUUAACCAAGAGCCCAUAUUGCCUUGUCUUCUCCGGUUUAUUGAAUGCUUGCAGAUUCCAGCUUAGUCCAAUGCACGUGCACUAUUAUUAUUUUACACACCGUUCGGUGGUGCAAGUGAAAGACAACAAUGACGAUAUAAGAUGGACUGAUUGAGAUAAGAGAAGCAGGUAUGAACUCGACCUCUCUUGUUUUUGUAAAUAUGAUUAGUUCAUUGUUCCUGAUUCAGCCUAUUAUGGAUAAAAUUAUUUGCAAUGACAAUUAGAGAUUAUAGUUGCUUAUGCCAUGCUUAAUUAGCUAGGAGUUUAUAAUGGUUUACCUUGCGUGCCAACAUGCUACUAAAAUGGUUAUGAUGUGGUAUAGUAGGCUGGUAUCCUCCUUUGAAUGAUUCGAGUGGCUUGACUUGGCACAUGUUCACGCAUGUAGUUGAAACAAAAUCAACAUAGCCUCUACGAUAUUUAUGUUCAUGGUGGAUUAUAUCCUACUCAUGCUUGCAUUCGGUGUAAAUUAAUUUUAAUGCAUGUUCAUGACUGUUGUUGCUCUCUAGUUGGUCGCUUCCCAGUCUCUUUCUAGCCUUCACUUUUACUAAGCGGGAAUACUGCUUGUGCAUCCAAUCCCUUAAACCCCAAAGUUAUUCCAUACGAGUCCACCAAUCCUUCCUAUAUGCGGUAUUUACCUGCCGUUCCAAGUAAAUUUGUAUGUGCCAAACUCUAAACCUUCAAAUGAAAUUCUGUUUUGUAUGCGCGAAUAGCUCAUGUAUCAACUAGGGCUGUCUAUAUCUUCCAUGCUAGGUGGGUUAUUCUCAAGAUGAGUGGACUCUGCUCAUCAUUCACGAGAACAUGGCUGGUAAUCGGGAUGCCCAGUCCCAUGCUCUAAGCAAAUCAAAUCGAAAUAAUUGCAAACAAAAAUCCCCCAGGGCUGUUGCUAGUUGGAGGCACUCAUUGUUUCGAGCAAGCCAUGGAUUGAUGCUUGUUGGUGGUGGGGGAGUAUAAACUUUACCAUUCUGUUUGGGAACCGCCUAUAAUGUGUGUAGCAUGGAAGAUAUCGCCAUCUCUCGGUUGUUAUGUUGACAAUGAAAGUAUGCCGCUCAAAAUAUUAUUUAUCUCUAUUUCAAAAUCGAGCUCUGGCACCUCUACAAAUCCCUGCUUCCCUCUGCGAAGGGACUAUCUAUUUACUUUUAUAUUGAGUCAUCACCCUCUUAUUAAAAAGCACCAGUUAGAGAGCACUGUUGUCAUUUGCAUUCAUUACUAUUAAUUUAUAUUGGGUAUGACUAUGAAUGGAUCUCUUUUACCAUGAAUUACAAUGUCUAGUCAGUCCUUGAUCUUUAAAGGUGCUCUGCAUUUAUGUUUUGCGGUCUCAGAAAGGGCUAGCGAGAUACCAUCUUGUUAUAUCAUAUUAUGAUUGUUUUGAGAAAGUGUUGUCAUCCGAGAUUUAUUAUUAUUGCUCGCUAGUUGAUUAUGCCAUUGAUAUGAGUAAACAUGAGACCUAAGUGUUAUUGUGAAUAUGGUUAAUCAUAAUCUUUGCUGAAAACUUGAAUGCUGGCUUUACAUAUUUACAACAACAAGAGCAAACAGAGUUUGCAAAAGUUGGCUCAACCCACCUGGGCGAAGAGUGGGUGCGGGAGGCCACCGAUGUUGGCUCAACCCACCUGGGCGCGCCUGGCCCCUCAGGCCCAGGCAUGCCCUGGUGUGUUGUGUCCCCCCCUCGGGGCACCCCCAGGUGCUGCUCUGGCCCAUUGGAUGUCUUCUGGUCCAUAAAAAUCCACAAAAAGUUUCGCGGUGUUUGGACUCCGUUUGAUAUUGAUUUCCUGUGGUGUAAAAAGAUGCAAAAAACAGCAACUGGCACUUGGCACUAUGUCAAUAGGUUAGUACCAAAAAAUGAUAUAAAAUGACUAUAAAAUGAUUAUAAAACAUCCAAGAAUGAUAAUAUAACAGCAUGGAACAAUCAAAAAUUAUAGAUACGUUGGAGACGUAUCAGCAUCCCCAAGCUUAAUUCCUGCUCGUCCUCGAGUAGGCAAAUGAUAAAAACAGAAUUUUUGAUGUGGAAUGCUGCCUAACAUGCCAUCUCUUAUUAUUUUCUUUAUAGCAUGGACAUUUGGACUUUUAUAUGGUUCAAAGCAAUAGUCUAGUUUUGACAUGAGACUUAAAUACUCAAGCAUAUCAACAAGCAAUCAUGUCUUUCAGAAUAUCAACGCUAAAAUAAGUUAUCCCUAGCCCAUCAUGCUCAAUCAUUGAUUCAUUCAUGAAACACACUCGCAUAUUAGCUACACCCAAUGCUCAAGUACGAUCAUAGUGCCUCCUAGUUGGUUCUUUAUAAGAGAAGAUGGAGACUCAAAUGAAAAAUAAAUAUUGCAUAAAGUAAAAGAAAAGCCCUUCGCGGAGGGAAGUAGGGAUUUGUAGAGGUGCCAGAGCUCAAAGCGAAAAACUUAGAGAUAAAAACAUUUUGGGAGGCAUACUUUUCCCACCAACGAAAACGACUUAGACUUUCCCACACUUUUCAUGCUAGAUAUAUCAUAGGCGGUUCCCAAACAGAAAUUAAAGUUUAUUCCUUUUUCCACCAUACUUUCACUUUCCAGGGCUAGCCGAAUCCACGGUUUCCCUCCAUACCAACACUUUCCAAGGAAUUUAUUAUUUGACAACAUAAAGUAAAUUCAUUUCUAUUUCGGGACUGGGCAUCCCUAAUACCUUUGCCUUACUCUCGCGUAAUGACAAGUGAAUAAACACUCAUUGUGAGAAUAACACAUCUAGCAUGAAAAACAUCGGCCACCCCUCACCGCCUCGCGAGCAGUACGAGCACACAAAAUAGAAUUUUAUUUUGAAAAUUAGAGAUGGCACAUACCAAUUUGCUUAGAACAGCAAAAGAAUACUGCAUAUAGGUAGAUAUAGUGGACUCAUGUGGCAAAACCGGUUUAAAGGAUUUUGGAUACACAAGUAGUGAUCAUACUUAGUGCAAAAUGAAGGCUAGCAAAAGAUUGAGAAGCGACCAACCAAGAAACAAAUAAUCUCAUAAGCGAGCAUUAAGCAUAAUUAACACCGAAUAAUGCACAACAAGUAGGAUGUAAGUUCAUUGCAUGACUAUUGACUUUCGUGCUUGCAUAGGGAAUCACAAACCUUAACACCAAUAUUCUUACUAAAGCAUAAUUACUCAUCAACAUGAUUCACAUAUCACAUCAUCAUAUCUCAAAACUAUUACAAGGAAUCCAGUUUAUUUUGUCCAAUGAUCUUCAUGAAAGUUUUUAUUAUAUCCUUCUUGGAUAUCUAUCACUUUGGGACUAAUUUUCAUGUGUUGCUUUUGAUAAGCUCAAACAAAUAUAAGUGAAGAUCAUGAGCAUAAUAUUUCUUUCUCUCAAAUUAAUUUAAGUGAAGCAAGAGAGAAUUUCUUCAAAAAUACUAAAGCACACUGUGCUCAAAAAGAUAUAAGUGAAGCACUAGAGAAAAUGACAAGCUACUCCAAAAAGAUAUAAGUGAAGAUCAAGCGAGUAGUUAAGUAAAUAGGUAGCUAUGUGAGGACUCUCUCUUAUUUUAAAACUUUCAGAUCUAAGUAAUUUAUUAAAACAGCAAGCAAAAAAAUGACAUUCUAAGAAUAGCACACAUCAUGUGAAGAAGCAAAAACUUAGGCUCAACCGAUACUAACCGAUAAUUGUUGAAGAAGAAAGGUGGGAUGCCUACCGGGGCAUCCCCAAGCUUAGAUGCUUGAGACUUCUUAAAAUAUUAUCUUGGGGUGCCUUGGGCAUCCCCAAGCUUGAACUUUUGUGUCUCCUUAAUUCCUCUCAUAUCACGGUUUUCCUAAAUCUCAAAAACUUCAUCCACACAAAACUGAACAAGAACUCGUGAGAUAAGUUAGUAUAAAUCAAUGCAAAACCUUAUCAUUCUCUACUGUAGCAAAUAACCAAAAUUAUUAUUCAACAUUGCAUACUGAAUGUCUGCGUAUUUAAUACUCCUAUCCUCAAAUAGAAUCAUUAAAUAAGCAAACAUAUGCAACCAAUGCCAACAUAACAGCAAUCUGCCAAAACAGUACAGUCCGUAAAGAAUGCAAGACUAUCAAUACUUAUUAAACUCCAAAGAUUAUGAAAAUUUACCACAGUGUAGAAAAUUUAUCAGAGCUUAUUUUGCAAAAAGUUUCAACAAUUUAUCACAUUCUAACUUUUCUAGGGAAUUUUUGCAACAGCGGGAAACUUUCUGUUUUCAAACAGCAACAUGUAGACUUGUAAAAUAAGCAUAGUAAAGGCCAUCAAUGCCACUUUUAUUGAAAUAAAAGAUGCAGGACAUUAUUCUAAAUAACAGCAAGCAAAUCCUAACAAAAUAAAUUGAUGCUCCAAGCAAAACACAUAUCAUGUGACGAAUAAAAAUAUAGCCUCAAGUAAGGUUACCGAUAAUGUUGGAGACGAAAAAGGGGACGCCUUACGGGGCAUCCCCAAGCUUAGUUGCUUGGAUCUUCCUUGAAUAUUACCUUGCGGUGCCUUGGGCAUCCCAAGCUUAGGGUCUUGUCACUCCUUAUUCUCCUCAUAUCGACAUCUCACCUAAAACUCGAAAACUUCAAUCACACAAAACUUAACGGAACUUCGUGAGAUAGGUUAGUAUGAUAAAGAGCAAACCAUUUCACUUUGGUACUGUCAAAGACAAGAUUCAUAAUUAUUUCCACACAAUGCCUAUUGUAGCAUAUCAUUUCCACAAUUUACAUUGAGCAAUAUAAGCCAUAGAAACUAGGAAACAAGCAAAGUAUGCAUUGAAAACAGAAUUAUUCAAAAACAGAACAGUGUGUAGUAAUUUGUACUCCAACCAUACUUUUGCUACUCCAAAAAUUCUGAAAUAUUAGGACAACGUAGGGACUUUUUAUAUCUAUAACCUGUAAAAAAAAUCAGAUCAAAAGGACAUUCCAGUGAAUUUUCAAAAUUCCUGGACUAAGCACAAAUGGUUUUGUUUUUGGACAGAAUCAAGUCAACUAUCAUCCAUGCUAUCCCAAAGGCUUUACUUGGCAUUUUAUUGAAACAAAAGCAAUAAAACAUGAUUACUACAGUAGCUUAAUCAUGUUAACACACAAAAAUAGUAGGGGUAAAUGUUGGGUUGUCUCGCAACAAGUGAUAACCCACAAGUAUAUGGGACGCAACAGUUUUCGAGGGUAGAGUAUUCAACCCAAAUUUAAUGAUUCGACACAAGGAGAGCCAAAGAAUAUUCUCAAGUAUUCGCAGUUGAGUUGUCAAUUCAACCACACCUGGAUAAAUUAGUAUCUGCAGCAAAGUAUUUAGUAGCAAAGUAAUAUGGAAGUAACGGUAACGGUAGCAAAAGUAAUAUUUUUGGGUUUUGUAGUGAUUGUAACAGUAGCAACGGAAAAGUAAAUAAGCGAAGAACAAUAUGUGAAAACCUCAUAGGCAUUGGAUCGGUGAUGGAGAAUUAUGCCGGAUGCGGUUCAUCAUGUAACAAUCAUAACAUAGGGUGACACAGAACUAGCUCCAAUUCAUCAAUGUAAUGUAGGCAUGUAUUCCGAAUAUAGUCAUACGUGCUUAUGGAAAAGAACUUGCAUGGCAUCCUUUGUCCUACCUCCCGUGGCAGCGGGGUCCUAAUGGAAACUAAGGGAUAUUAAGGCCUCCUUUUAAUAGAGUACGGGAACAAAGAAUUAACACAUAGUGAAUACAUGAACUCCUCAAACUACGGUCAUCACCGGGAGUGGUCCCCAUUAUUCUCACUUCGGGGUUGCCGGAUCAUAACACAUAGUAGGUGACUAUAGACUUGCAAGAUAGGAUCAAGAACUCACAUAUAUUCAUGAAAACAUAAUAGGUUCAGAUCUGAAAUCAUGGCACACGGGCCCUAGUGACAAGCAUUAAGCAUAGCAAAGUCAUAGCAAUAUCAAUCUCAGAACAUAGUGGAUACUAGGGAUCAAACCCUAACAAAACUAACUCGAUUACAUGAUAAAUCUCAUCCAACCCAUCACCGUCCAGCAAGCCUACAAUGGAAUUACUCACGCACGGCGGUGAGGAUCAUAAAAUUGGUGAUGGAGGAUGGUUGAUGAUGACGACGGCGGCGGAUUCCCCUCUCCGGAGCCCCGAACGGACUCCAGAUCAGCCCUCCCAAGAGGUUUUAGGGCUUGGCGGCGGCUCCAUAUCGUAAAACGCGAUGAAUCCUUCUCCCUGGUUUUUUCUCCCCGAACACGAAUAUAUGGAGUUGGAGUUGAGGUCGGUGGAGCAUCAGGGGGCCCACGAGGCAGGGGGCGCGCCCAGGGGGGCAGGCGCGCCCCCACCCUCGUGGAUAGGUGGAGGCCCCCCUAACGUGUAUUCUUCUUCCAGUAUUUUUAGUAUUUUCCAAAAAUAUGUUCCGUGGAGUUUCAGGUCAUUCCGAGAACUUUUGUUUCUGCACAUAAAUAACACCAUGGAAAGUCUGCUGAAAACAGCGUCAGUCCGGGUUAGUUUCAUUCAAAUCAUGUAAGUUAGAGUCCAAAACAAGGGCAAAAGUGUUUGGAAAAGUAGAUACGACGGAGACGUAUCAACUCCCCAAGCUUAGACCUUUGCUUGUCCUCAAGCAAUUUGGUUGAUAAACUGAAAGUGAUAAAGAAAAACUUUUACAAACUCUGUUUGCUCUUGUUGUUGUAAAUAUGUAAAGCCAGCAUUCAUGUUUUCAGCAAAGAUUAUGACUAACCACAUUCACAAUAACUCUUAGGUCUCAUGUUUACUCAUAUCAAUGGCAUAAUCAACUAGCGAGCAAUAAUAAUAAAUUUCAGAUGACAACACUUUCUCAAAACAAUCAUAAUAUGAUAUAACAGGAUGGUAUCUCGCUAGCCCUUUCUGAGACCGCAAAACAUAAAUGCAGAGCACCUUUAAAGACCAAGGACUGACUAGACAUUGUAAUUCAUGGUAAAAGAGAUCCAAUCAUAGUCAUACCCAAUAUAAAUUAAUAAUAAUGGAUGCAAAUGACAGCAGUGCUCUCCAGCUGGUGCCUUUUAAUAAGAGGGUGAUGACUCAACAUAAAAGUAAAUAGAUAGGCCCUUCUCAGAGGGAAGCAGGGAUUUGUAGAGGUGCCAGAGCUCGGUUUUUGAAAUAGAGAUAAAUAAUAUUUUAAGCGGCAUACUUUCAUUGUCAACAUAACAACCAAGAGAUGGCGAUAUCUUCCAUGCUACACACAUUAUAGGCGGUUCCCAAACAGAAUGGUAAAGUUUAUACUCCCCCUCCACCAACAAGCAUCAAUCCAUGGCUUGCUCGAAACAACGAGUGCCUCCAACUAGCAACAGUCCCAGGGGGAGUUUUGUUUGCAAUUAUUUUGAUUUGAUUUUCAUAAAGCAUCGGACUGGGCAUCCCGGUGACCAGCCAUUUUCUCGUGAGUGAGGAGCGGAGUCCACUCCUCUUGAGAAUAACCCGCCUAGCAUGGAAGAUACGGACAGCCCUAGUUGAUACAUGAGCUAUUCGAGCAUACCAAACAGAAUUUCAUUUGAAGGUUUAGAGUUUGGCACAUACAAAUUUACUUGGAACGGCAGGUAGAUACCGCAUAUAGGAAGGUAUAGUGGACUCAUAUGGAAUAACUUUGGGGUUUAAGGAAUUGGAUGCACAAGCAGUAUUCCCGCUUAGUACAAGUGAAGGCUAGCAAAAGACUGGGAAGCGACCAACUAGAGAGCGACAACAGUCAUGAGCAUGCAUUAAAAUUAAUAAACAUUGAGUGCAAGCAUGAGUAGGAUAUAAUCCACCAUGAACAUAAAUAUCGUGAAGGCUAUGUUGAUUUGUUUCAACUACAUGUGUGAACAUGUGCCAAGUCGAGUCACUUAAAUCAUUCAAAGGAGGAUACCACCCCACUAUACCACAUCACAACCAUUUUAAUAGCAUGUUGGCACGCAAGGUAAACCAUUAUAACUCAUAGCUAAUCAAGCAUGGCACGAGCAACUAUGAUCUCUAAUUGUCAUUGCAAACAUGUUUAUUCAUAAUAGGCUGAAUCAGGAACGAUGAACUAAUCAUAUUUACAAAAACAAGAGAGGUCGAGUUCAUACCAGCUUCUCUCAUCUCAGUCAGUCCAUCAUAUAUUGUCAUAAUUGCCUUUCACUUGCACGACUGAACGAUGUGAAAAUAAUAAGAGUGCACGUGCAUUGGACUAAGCUGGAAUCUGUGAGCAUUCAAUAAGCAGGAGAAGACAAGGCAAUAUGGGCUCUUGGUUAAAUCAACAACAAUGCAUAUAAGAGCCACUUCAACAAUUUAAUCAUGAUCUUAUCCUAUCGACCCCCAAAUAAAAGAAAAGAAAUAAAAAUAUUUACACGGGAAAGCUCCCAACAAGCAAAAGAAGAAGGGGAAAUCUUUUUGGGUUUUCUUUUAAUUAUUACUACUACAGCAAGAAAGGUAAACUAGCUAAAGCUACACUAAUUUUUUUUUGUUUUUCUUAAGGUUUAUUAAACACACAAGAAGAGAGCAAGAAAAAGAAAAUAAACUAGCAUGGAUAUUACAGUGAAAGAGUAUGAGCACCGACAUCUAGCAAUGAGUGUGUGAACAUAAAUGUAAUGUCGGUGAGAAAUACGUACUCCCCCAAGCUUAGGCUUUUGGCCUAAGUUGGUUUAUUGCCACUGAUGGCCUGGUGGAUAUCCAUAGUUGUAGUUGGGGUCGUACUGAGAUGCAGCGGUCAUUGCAUCGUGUGCUGCAGCUUGGAGGCGAGCUAUCUCAGCCCUCCUCUUAUACUCCUCUGCCUCCUCUCUGGUUAUAAAAUGUCUCCCUUUUGCCUGAAAGUCAAAGAAAGCAGGAGCAGGAAGAACGACUAGAUAGGUGCGUCGUCUGCCAAAGAUUAGUCGGUACUGGAGAGGUUGUUCAUUUCUCUCAAUAAACUGAUGACGAACCAUAGCCUCAUAAUCUAAAUAAGUAGGAGGCAACUCAAUAUCAUCCUCACGUAUGUCUACACCAAGAAAGUUAGCUAAGCGGGUUGCAUAAAUUCCACCAAAGAAAUCUCCAUUAAAUCUAUUAUGAUGCAACCUAUGUGCAACAAUGGCUCCCAAGUUAUAAGAUUUGUCUCCUAACACAGCACUCCUAAGAAUACUGAGGUCAGGGACACACAUGUGACAUGCUUCAUCCUUACCAUUUAUGCACCUACCUAUGAAGAGAGCAAAAUAAUGUAUAGCAGGAAAAUGAAUGCUCCCUAUGGUAGCUUGUGUUAUAUCUCUAGAUUCCCCCACAGUUAUACUAGCAAGAAAUUCUCUAAAUUUAGAUUUGCGAGGUUCACUAGUACUACCCCAUUAUGGAAGUUUGCAAGCAAUGGUAAAAUCCUCUAAGUCCAUAGUGUAAGAUUUUUCAUAGAGAUCAAAUAGGACAGUUUGAGAAUUACGUGAAGAUGAAUAUUCAAACCUCCUCACAAAUGAACUAGUGAGAUAGUGGUACUGGCUGCACUUUUCUCCCUCGAAGCUCACAAGAUCAGCGUUACGCAAAUACGCGUUAAAUUCUUCCUUGAUUCCCGCUCGAUCCAUAAAGCCUUCUGAAGGCCAUUCACAAGGCCGCACUGGAGCGUUCCUUGGUGGCUCAUCAUCGGCAUCGCGCAUUGCGAGCCUGGGUCCUUGCUUCCUUGAAGGACCACCUUGGUAUAUUUUCCUAAGCAUAUUUCUUCCUCUGAAAAAUUUCUGAAAUUUUUAGUAACUUCAAAUAAAAGUGAACCAAGCUCAACAAAAUUGAUAGCAACUACUCCUACAAGUGCCUAGAGCCUAUAUCAUGCAUUAGAACUACUUGGAACCAUAUAAAUUUGACAUGCAAGCUCAAGAACAUGGUCACCUAGGCAGCACAAAUUUGCAAUGAAUAAAGCACUAGAACAAAAACUAAUUGGGCCAAUGGAGGAGUCACAUACCAAGGAACAAUCUCCCCAAGCAGUUUUGAGAGAGGUGCUUUGAGCAAGGAUAUCGAAAAUAGCAGCAAAAUGAGCUAGAACUCGUGCUUGAGCUGGAUGGAGAUUUUUUUUGGAGGAAGAAGAAGUGUGUGGUGGCUGGCAUAAGUGGAGGGGGCCACCGUGGGCCCACGAGGCAGGGGGCGCGCCCUGGACCCUCGUGGCCAGGUGCUUCCUCCCCCUGCUAUGUUCUCAGUGCCAGAAAUUCUCAAAUAUUCUAGAAAAAAAUCAUAUUCCAUUUUCAGGGCAUUUGGAGAACUUUUAUUCUCGGGGUAUUUUAUAUUGCACGGAUAAUUCAGGAAACAGACAGAAAAAUACUAUUUUUACUUUAUUUCAACUAAAUAACAGAAAGUAAAAGGAGGGUACAGAAGGUUGUGCAUUCUAACUUCAUCCAUCUCAUGCUCAUCAAAAGGAAUCCAUUAACAAGGUCGAUCAAGUCUUGUUAACAAACUCAUUCCGAAUAACAUGGAACCGGAGAAAUUUCGAAUAACACUAUGUUACCUCAACGGGGAUAUGCACAUCCCCAAUAAUGAGAAUAUCAUAUUUCUUCUUGACAGUAGGAAGAGGAAAUUCAAAACCUCCAAAAAUAAUCGAUGGAAUUUUUCCAAUAGAGUUGAUACUAUGAACUUGAGGUUGUUUCCUCGGAAAGUGUACCAUCUGCUCAUUACCAUUAACAUGAAAAGUGACAUUGCCUUUGUUGCAAUCAAUAACAGCCCCUGCAGUAUUCAAAAAGGGUCUUCCAAGAAUAAUAGACAUAAUAUCGUCCUCGGGAAUAUCAAGAAUAACAAAGUCCGUCAAAAUAGUAACGUUUGCAACCACAACAGGCACAUCCUCACAAAUGCCGGCAGGUAUAGCAGUUGAUCUAUCAGCCAUUUGCAAAGAUAUUUCAGUAGGCGUCAACUUAUUCAAAUCAAGUCUGCGAUAUAAAGAGAGAGGCAUAACACUAACACCGGCUCCAAGAUCACAUAAAGCAGUUUUAACAUAGUUUCUUUUAAUGGAGCAUGGUAUAGUUGGUACCCCUGGAUCUCCUAGUUUCUUUGGUAUUCCACCCUUAAAAGUAUAAUUAGCAAGCAUGGUGGAACUUUCAGCUUCCGGUAUCUUUCUUUUAUUAGUGACAAUUUCUUUCAUAUACUUAGCAUAAGGAUUCAUUUUGAGCAUAUCAGUCAAACGCAUACGCAAAAAGAUAGGUCUAAUUAUUUCAGCAAAGCGCUCAAAAUCCUCAUCAUCCUUUUUCUUGAAUGGUUUGGGAGGAAAAGGCAUGGGUUUCUGAACCCAAGGUUCUCUUUCUUUACCAUGUUUCCUAGCAACAAAGUCUCUCUUACCAUAACGUUGAUUCUUUGAUUGUGGGUUAUCAAGAUCAACAGCAGGUUCAAUUUCAACAUCAUUAUCAUUGCUAGGUUGAGCAUCAUCAUGAACAUCUUCAUUAGUAUUUUCACUUGGUUCAUGUUCAUUACCAGAUUGUGUUUCAGCAUCAGAAAUAGAUAUAUCAUUUGGAUUCUCAGGUGUUUCAGCAAUAGGUUCACUAGAAGCAUGCAAAGUCCUAUCAUUUUUCUUUUUCUUCUUUCUAGAAGAACUAGGUGCAUCUAUAUUAUUUCUCUGAGAAUCUUGCUCAAUUCUCUUAGGGUGGCCUUCAGGAUACAAAGGUUCCUGAGUCAUUUUACCAGUUCUAGUAGCCACUCUAACAGCAUAAUCAUUAUUCUUACUAUUUAAUUCAUUGAGCAAAUCAUUUUGAGCUUUAAGUACUUGUUCCACUUGAGUGGUAACCAUAGAAGCAUGUUUACUAAUGAGUUUAAGUUCACCUUUAACUCUAGACAUAUAAUGACCCAAGUAUUCAAGCGUAUCGGAAUUAUAUUUCAAUUGUCUACCAAAAUAAGCAUUGAAGUUUUCUUGUUUGACAAUAAAAUUAUCAAACUCUUCUAAGCAUUGUCUAGCAGACUUAUAACGAGGAAUAUCACCUUCAUAAAAUCUAUAGAGAGAAUUUACCUUUACUACCUGUGUCGGGUUAUCAAGACCAUGAGUUUCUUCAAUAGGUGAUGGAUUAAGACCAUAUGUUCUUCAACAGGCGGUAAAUUAAGACCACGAAUCUCUUCAAUAGGUGGUAAAUUCUUAACAUCUUCAGCUUUAAUACCUUUUUCUUUCAUAGAUUUCUUUGCCUUUUGCAUAUCUUCAGGACUGAGAAAUAGAACACCCCUCUUCUUCGGAGUUGGUUUAGGAAUAGGCUCAGGAGCUGGCUCAGAAAGUAUCCAAUUAUUUUCAUUGGUCAACAUAUUAUUCAAUAGAAUUUCAGCUUCAUCCGGUGUUCUUUCCCUGAAAACAGAACCAGCACAACUAUCCAGGUAAUCUUUGGAAGCAUUGGUUAGUCCAUUAUAAAAGAUAUCAAGUAUUUCAUUUUUCUUAAGAGGAUGAUCAGGCAAAGCAUUAAGUAAUUGGAGAAGCCUCCCCCAAGCUUGUGGGAGAUUCUCUUCUUCAAUUUGCACAAAAUUAUAUAUAUCCCUUAAAGCAGCUUGUUUCUUAUGAGCAGGGAAAUAUUUAGCAGAGAAGUAAUAAAUCAUAUCCUGGGGACUACGCACACAACCAGGAUCAAGAGAAUUAAACCAUAUCUUAGCAUCACCCUUUAAUGAGAACGGAAAUAUUUUAUGAAUAUAAAGGUAGCGAGUUCUCUCAUCAUUAGUGAAUAGGGUUGCUAUAUCAUUUAAUUUAGUAAGAUGUGCCACAACAGUUUCAGAUUCAUAGCCAUAAAAAGGAUCAGAUUCAACCGAAGUAAUUAUAUCAGGAUCAACAGAGAAUUCAUAAUCCUUAUCAGUAACACAGAUAGGUGAAGUAGCAAAAGCAGGGUCAUGUUUCAUUCUAGCAUUAAGAGAUUGUUGCUUCCAUUUAGCUAAUAACUUAUUAAGAUCACUUCUAUCAUUGCAAGCAAGAAUGGCUCUAGCAGAUUCUUCAUCCAGAACAUAACCCUCAGGCACAACAGGCAAUUCAUAUUUAUUAGGGGGAGAGUCUUCAUCAUCACUAUCUUCAAUAUUAUUAGUUUCAAUAAUUUCAUUCUCUCUAGCCCUAGCAAAUUGUUCAUCAAGAAAUUCACCAAGUGGCACAGUAGUAUCAAGCAUAGAAGUAGUUUCAUCAUAAGUAUCAUGCAUAGCAGAAGUGGCAUCAUCAAGAACAUGCGACAUAUCAGAAUUAAUAGCAGAAGCAGGUUUAGGUGUCGCAUGCUUACUCAAAACAGAAGGUGAACCAAGUGUAGAGCUAGAUGGCAGUUCCUUACCUCCCCUCGUAGUUGAGGGAUAAAUUUUUGCUUUCUCGUCUUUCAAGUUCUUCAUAGUGACCAGCAAAUAUAAAUCCCAAGUGACUCGAAGAAUAGAGCUAUGCUCCCCAGCAACGGCGCCAGAAAAUAGUCUUGAUAACCCACAAGUAUAGGGGAUCGCAACAGUUUUCGAGGGUAGAGUAUUCAACCCAAAUUUAUUGAUUCAACACAAGGGGAGCCAAAGAAUAUUCUCAAGUAUUCGCAGUUGAGUUGUCAAUUCAACCACACCUGGAUAACUUAGUAUCUGUAGCAAAGUAUUUAGUAGCAAAGUAAUAUGGAAGUAACGGUAACGGUAGCAAAAGUAAUAUUUUUGGGUUUUGUAGUGAUUGUAACAGUAGCAACGGAAAAGUAAAUAAGCGAAGAACAAUAUGUGAAAAGCUCGUAGGCAUUGGAUCGGUGAUGGAGAAUUAUGCCAGAUGCGGUUCAUCAUGUAACAAUCAUAACAUAGGGUGACACAGACCUAGCUCCAAUUCAUCAAUGUAAUGUAGGCAUGUAUUCCGAAUAUAGUCAUACGUGCUUAUGGAAAAGAACUUGCAUGGCAUCCUUUGUCCUACCCUCCCGUGGCAGCGGGGUCCUAAUGGAAACUAAGGGAUAUUAAGGCCUCCUUUUAAUAGAGUACGGGAACAAAGAAUUAACACAUAGUGAAUACAUGAACUCCUCAAACUACGGUCAUCACCGGGAGUGGUCCCCAUUAUUCUCACUUCGGGGUUGCCGGAUCAUAACACAUAGUAGGUGACUAUAGACUUGCAAGAUAGGAUCAAGAACUCACAUAUAUUCAUGAAAACAUAAUAGGUUCAGAUCUGAAAUCAUGGCACUCGGGCCCUAGUGACAAGCAUUAAGCAUAGCAAAGUCAUAGCAACAUCAAUCUCAGAACAUAGUGGAUACUAGGGAUCAAACCCUACACAAACUAACUCGAUUACAUGAUAAAUCUCAUCCAACCCAUCACCAUCCAGCAAGCCUACGAUGGAAUUACUCACGCACGGCGGUGAGCAUCAUGAAAUUGGUGAUGGAGGAUGGUUGAUGAUGACGACGGCGACGCAUUCCCCUCUCCGGAGCCCCGAACGGACUCCAGAUCAGCCCUCCCGAGAGGUUUUAGGGCUUGGAGGCGGCUCCGUAUCGUAAAAUGUGAUGAAUCCUUCUCCCUGGUUUUUUUCUCCCUGAACACGAAUAUAUGGAGUUGGAGUUGAGGGCGGUGGAGCGUUAGGGGGCCCACGAGUCUGGGGGCGCGCCCCCCACCCUCAUGGACAGGUGGAGGCCCCCCUGACGUGGAUUCUUCUUCCAGUAUUUUUUAUAUUUUCCGAAAAUAUGUUCCGUGGAGUUUUAGGUCAUUCCGAGAACUUUUUUUUCUGCACAUAAAUAACACCAUGGAAGGUCUGCUAAAAACAGCGUUAGUCCGGGUUAGUUCCAUUCAAAUCAUGCAAGUUAGAGUCCGAAACAAGGGCAAAAGUGUUUGGAAAAGUAGAUACGACGGAGAUGUAUCAAGAAGCGCUUUUCUUUAAUGCCUUUUAGCUAGGCAUGAUGAGUUCAAUGAUGCUCACAUAAAAGAUAAGAAUUGAAACAUAACAAGAGCAUCAUAAAUCACAUGGCAAGCACAUUUAAGUCUAACCCACUUCCUAUGCAUAGGGAUUUUGUGAGCAAACAAUUUAUGGGAACAAGAAUCAACUAGCAUAGGAAGGCAAAACAAGCAAAACUUCUAGAUUUUCAACACAUAGAGAGGAAACUUGAUAUUAUUGCAAUUCCUACAAGCAUAUGUUCCUCCCUCAUAAUAAUUAUCAGUAGCAUCAUGAAUGAAUUCAACAAUAUAACUAUCACAUAAAGCAUUCUUUUUACGAUCCACAAGCAUAUAAAAUUUAUUACUCUCCACAUAAGCAAAUUUAUCUCAUCAAUAGUAGUGGGAGCAAAUUCAACAAAAUAACUAUCAUGUGAUUGAAAAUUAAAAAUCAUGAAGACAAGUUUCAUGGUUAUCAUUAUUCAAUAUAACAUACAUGUCAUCACCAUAAUCAUCAUAAAUAGCAACUUUGUUGUCAUAAUCAAUUGAAACCUCUUCCAAAAUAGUGGAUUCAUCACUAAAUAAAGUCAUGACCUCUCCAAAUCCAUUUUUUCAAUAUUGUAACAAGAUUCAACACCCUCCAAAAUAGUGGGAUCAUUACCUAGAGUUGACACUCUUCCAAACCCACUAUCAUCAAUAUAAUCAUCAUAAAUAGGAGGCAUGCAAUCAUUAUAACAAAUUUGCACAUCAAAUCUUGGGGGACUAAAAAUAUCAUGUUCAUCAAAUAUAGCAUCCCCAAGCUUAUGGCUUUGCAUAUCGUUAGCAUCAUUGAUAUUCAAAGAGUUCAUACCAACAACAUUGCAAUCAUGCUCAUCAUGCAAUGAUUUUUUUGUCAAACAUUUUAUAGAAUUCUUCUUCUAUCAAUUGAGCACAAUUUUCCUUUCCAUCAUUUUCACGAAAGAUAUUAUAAAGAUGAAUAAUAUGAUGCAAACUAAAUUCCAUUUUUUUGUAGUUUUCUUUUAUAAACGAAACUAGUGAUAAAACAAGAAACUAAUUAAAAGAUUCGAUUGCAAGAUCUAAAGAUAUACCUUCAUGCACUCACCUCCCCCGCAACGACGCCAGAAAAGAGCUUCGUUGACGGGGUGUGAGUGCCGCUUACCUAACCUCCCCGGCAACGGCGCCAGAAAAGAGCUUGAUGUCUACUACAAAACUUGUUCUUGUAGACUCGUGUUGGGCCUCCAAGCGCAGAGUUUUGUAGGACAGUAGCAAUUUUCCCUCAAGUGGAUGACCUAAGGUUUAUGAAUCCGUGGGAGGCGUAGGAUGAAGAUGGUCUCUCUCGAACAACGCUGCAACCAAAUACAAGAAAUCUCUUGUGUCCCCAACACACCCAAUACAAUGGCAAAUUGUAUAGGUGCACUAGUUCAGCGAAGAGAUGGUGAUAAAAGUGUAAUAUGGAUGGUAGAAAUAUAUUUUUAUAAUCUGAAUAAAUAAAAACAGCAAGGUAGCAAAUAGUAAACGGGCACAAAAAUAGUAUUGCAAUGCUUGGAAAUGAGGCCUAGGGUCUGUACUUUCGCUAGUGCAACCUCUCACUACUAGGGAAAAGCCUAUACACAGAAUCUUACCAGCAGUGUGUUUUAAAAUAAGGCGAUGCUGCUAUAUAGCAGCAGCGCGCUCCAGCACAACACGCUGCUGAAAUAAAAGUAGCAGUAGCGCGCUUCCUCUAAGCCGUGCUACUGCUAUAAUUGCCACGACCCUGCCGCGAAGCUAGUCUUAGCAGCAGCGCGUUAACAUGGAGAGCGCUACUGCUACAGAUCAUAGCAGUAGCGCAUUCCCGUAAUACCCGCUACUGCUAAGUUUACUAAAAAAAUAGUCACACCUCGCUCCGCGAAGAGGGUUUCUACCACCUUAAAUAUGUUACUUCUCAAACUAUCACAAGCACUUGGUUUUCAUUGAACUCUAUGUGUAAAAUUUGUGGCCGCAAUAUGAGUCUUCCCCUGUUCCUAAACCGGUGAGGACUCAUGUUGACAAAUCAGAUUGUACACAAAAAGAUCAUUGAUAAUCAAUGUAUUUUUUAUGUCUAUUUUUACAUGCUGACACAUAGCAGUAGUGCGUUCUGUGUGAAAUGCGCUACUGCUAGGUCAUUAUAGCGUGCUACUGCUAAGCCAUUAUAUCUCCCACCCCCCACUCUCCUCUAUCCGAUCCACUCACACUCACACUCACUCGAUCUCCCCCUCAACCCCCCUGCGCCGGUCCUCCCCCGCAGGCCGCCCUCGUCCCCACUGGCCGCCAUCGCCUACCCCUCCUCACUCUGCGCCACCGUUACCUCCUCCUCCUCGCUGGUCUCGGUACCGCCCUCCACCUCCGUCCUUCCUCCACUCGCCGCCGGCCGGCCCCUCCUCGCUCCGCCUUCCUCCUCCGUCCUACUCUCUCCUCCCUCCUCAAGUCGCCCCUCCUUCUCCCUCCUCCCUCCUCCAUCCACAACCCCUCCUCCCUGCUACAUUUUCAUUUAGUAGGCUAGUUCGUAUGCAACAUUUUGAUUUCGUUGAUAUGAUUUAGUUGAUUUAGUAGGCUAGUUGAUUUAGUUCAUUUAGAACAUUUUGAUUUAGUUUAUUUAGUAGGCUAGUUGAUUUAGUAGGCUAGUUGAUUUAGUUGAUUUAGUAGGCUAGUUGAUUUAGUUGAUUUAUAGAACAUUUUGAUUUAGUUUAUUUAGUAUGCUAGUUGAUAGCUCUGAAGAUUUGGCACCACCUAGCUAGAUGCUUGGAAAGAAACGCACAAUUUUAUUGUUAUUUUUUCUGUACAUGGAUAGCUAGAUGCUUUUGUUUUUCUGUAAUAAGCUUUUUUUGGCAAAAGGUAGGUGCCAAUUUAGUUAAUUUGCCACUUGUUUUUUUAAUCAAUUAUCUUAGGCAAUAGGGGCCAAAUUAGAUGAAAUGUCUUGGUAGGUGGUACGCUGAUUUGGUAGAUACUUGUGAAAAGUUUUUUCGGCAAUAGGUGCCACUGAAAUGCUUUGGUAGGUGGUAUCUUGUCAUCUUAUAUGUUACUAGAUCUUAGGAUUAUAGUUGUCCAUCAAAUUGCCUCUCAUGGAAGAAGAAUCAAAUUGCUUCUCGCGGAAGAAGAACCAAAUCUUAUUAGGCAAGAUUUGGCAUUUGCCUGCUAGCUGUUGGUUCUAUUCUAGAAGGUGUUAGUAUGCUGUGAAAAUAUAACUAAAGAAGAACCAAAAAUAUCACAUGCUACUGUUUUUUUUCCUGUGAAGUGGAUCGUUAAUCCUUUGCUCAUAUUGCUUUAGGGAAAUGGCGCCACCACCACCACCGCCAUGUCGACUGUGCAAGUCAAGGUGCGCCAGCAGCCUUGCAACUGGCAAGCUAUUCGGCAUCUACUUCCAGCCGAGUUUUCAUCGUGCGGCGGUAAGAAAUUAUAUGAAAUGUAAAAACUAUUUUAUAUUUAGUGUUGGCAUUACUGCAUUGUGUCAUUUUGCUUUUUUACACAGAUCGUCCCAUGCAAUGUGAGGUUGAAAUUCAACAAGAUGACAGUAGACACUGUGACAUUUGAGGCUCCUGGGUGGGCGUACACUAUGGAGGUCGAGAAAGGACGCAAUAUGUCGCAGAUUGGAGGAGAUGGAUGGGCCCGUUUCCUCGCCCGCAUGCGUCUUACUGGUGGUGAGUUGAUCAGCUUCUCCUUCAGAGCAGAAAGACCCAAGCUGGCUGUCAUUUAUAUCAACCUGGUGGAAGAUGAUGAAGAUGACGAAGAUGAUGAAGAUAAUGAGGACCCACUCGAUGAAGAUGAUGAGGACCCACUUCAUGAAGCCAUCGUAGCUCAAAGAAUGAGGCUGAGCGAGGAGGAGGUGUGCAACCUAUGGGACAUAAUUCCACCACGUGAUGACUUUGUCGGGGUGCCAUUCGUGACCCGCCUGACAAGUACCAUGGUCGAUCGGCAUGAUAUGGUAUGUUAUACUUACAAAUGCAAAUUAUCCGAUGAUAUGCUUAGUGUAGAGUCCAAUGAUAUGCUGUGUGGAAUCUAGUCGAUGAUAUGCUUUAGUGUAGAGUCCGAUCACAUCCUUAUUAGUGUAGAAUCCAAGGAACUAUUAAUAGUGUAGAUAAUCCAUAUAUACUUAUUAGUAGAAUUCAUGCUUAGUACAAAUGUGUAGUACUGUGUCUUUUGAUAGUGUAGAAAUCUAUACUUAACAGAAAUAUAUUUGCAAGAGUAUGUGCGAGGCUAUUUAUUAAUUGAUAUGUUUUUCUUAUUCAGAAAUUGCCAAAGAGCCUAUCUGUGAGUUGUGGUAUCGAGCGUGAUGAAGAAGGCUCAGCUGGACUACGCCUUACCGCAAGGGGCUCCGUCACCACCUGUACUUACUGCAUGGACACGGACGGUCGCACACACUUAAACUCGGUUGGGUGGAAGAGAUUCCUCGUUGGCAAGAAUCUUCGUGUUGGACAGGCCAUCCUAAUUACUAUCAGGAACACCCACCGCCCAGGCUUGAGGAUGAUGAUCGUCGUCGAUAUCAUCUAGAACUACAUAUGUGUGUGUGGCUAUAUCAUCUAGAACUACAUAUGAUGAUAGUCGUCGAUAUCAUCUAGAACUACAUAUCAUGAUCGCCGUCGAUACAUCUAGUACUACAUAUGAUGAUCGUCGUCGAUAUCACCUAGUACUGCUUGAGGAUGCAUGUUGACUAUAUAUGAAAUUUUUAUCUAGUACUCCCUCCGUUCCAAAUUACUCAUCGUGGUUUCAGUUCAAAUUUGAACUAAAACCACGACGAGUAAUUUGGAACGGAGGGAGUACUACCUAGUACCUAUAAUGCUUUAUGAAAUUGAUAUCUAGUAGUACCUAGUAUCUGGAAAUUGCAGUUUAUUGNNNNNNNNNNNNNNNNNNNNNNNNNNNNNNNNNNNNNNNNNNNNNNNNNNNNNNNNNNNNNNNNNNNNNNNNNNNNNNNNNNNNNNNNNNNNNNNNNNNNNNNNNNNNNNNNNNNNNNNNNNNNNNNNNNNNNNNNNNNNNNNNNNNNNNNNNNNNNNNNNNNNNNNNNNNNNNNNNNNNNNNNNNNNNNNNNNNNNNNNNNNNNNNNNNNNNNNNNNNNNNNNNNNNNNNNNNNNNNNNNNAUGAAAGAUAUAGCAGUAGCGCGGGGCUAGGAAACCACUACAACUAAUUAAUAGUAGCGCGUUCCGGAAAAGCGCUGCUGAUAUAGUCAAUAGUAGCAGCGCGGGUACAGACCGCGCUACUACUAACAGUUAGCUGUAGCGCCGUAUUAGUAGCGCGGAUGCCCGCGAUGCUGAUAGCCUCAAAACCCGCGCUACUACUUGGGUUUUCCCUAGUAGUGUCUCAACAAUGCUAAUAUAAUUGGAUCACAUAACCAUCCCUGAAAGUGCAACGAAGAAUCACUCCAAAGUUCCUAUCUAGCGGAGAACAUAAGACGGAAUUGUUUGUAGGGUACGAAACCACCUCAAAGCUAUUCUUUCCGAUCAAUCUAUCCUAGAGUUCGUACUAAAAUAACAUGAAGCUAUUCUUUCCGAUCGAUCUAACCAAGAGUUCGUACUAAAAUAACACCAAAGCAAAUUCAGAAUCAUAAUAUUCAAUCCAACACAAAGAACUUCAAAGAGUGCCCCAAGAUUUCUACCGGAGAAACAAAGACAAGAACGUGCAUCAAUCCCUAUGCAUAGAUUACCCCAAUGUCACCUCGGGAAUCCGCGAGUUGAAUGCAAAAACAUAUAUCAAGUGAAUCAAUACGAUACCCCAUUGUCACUACGAGUAUUCAAUUGCAAGACAUAUAUCGAGUGUUCUCAAAUCCAUAAAAGUAUUCAAUCCGAUAACAACAAAAUCUCAAAGGGAAAAACUCAAUUCAUCACAACAAGAUAGAGAGGGGAAAACACCAUAUGAUCCGACUAUAUUAACAAAGCCCGCGAUACAUCAAGAUCGUGACAUCUCAAGAACACGAGAGAGAGAGAGAGAGAGAGAGAGAGAUUAAACACAUAGCUACUGGUACAAACCCUCAGCCCCGAGGGUGGACUACUCCCUCCUCAUCAUGGUGGUCGUAGGGAUGAUGAAGAUGGCCACCGGUGAUGAUUUCCCCUCCGGCAGGGUGCCGGAACGGGGUCUAGAUUGGAUCUCAUGGAUACAGAGGCCUUGCGGCGGUGGAACUUCUGAUCUAGUGUUACCCCGAAGGGUUUUGGAAUGUUUGAGAAUUUAUAGGGCGAAGAGGGGGUGCGGGAGGCCACCGAGGUGGGCACAAACCACCUGGGCGCGCCUGGGCCCCCAGGCGCGCCCUGGUGGUUGUGCCCCCCUCGGGGCACCCCCCCCCCCCAGGUGCUGCUCUGGACCUUUGGAUGUCUUCUGGUCCGUAAAAAAUCCACAAAAAGUUUCGCGGUGUUUAUACUCCGUUUGAUAUUGAUUCCUGCGAUGUAAAAAACAUGCAAAAAACAGCAAUUGGCACUUGGCACUAUGUCAAUAGAUUAGUACCAAGAAAUGAUAUAAAAUGACUAUCAAAUGAUUAUAAAACAUCCAAGAAUGAUAAUAUAACAGCAUGGAACAAUCAAAAAUUAUAGAUACGUUGGAGACGUACGUAUCAGCGCCUCCGUUACCUACCCUACGCGAUGCAUGCAGCAUACGUGGCUAAGGAUAAGGGCGUGGUGGGAAGAGUGAAUUGGCAGUUUCUACCCCGUGCGUUAAAGUCAUUCACGGGCAUUACAAGGAACCAAGAUCUUAGGAGGACCAACAUGUAGAUCAAGAGGACCGAGGUCAAGCCAGAGAAACAAGAUGCCACGAGGAGAAAAGCCUUCCUUGUCGGGCAGACGAGCUCGACAAGGGCGGGGUCGCCCUCGGAAAAGGAUGUCCAAGACGUCCCGGCAGGGCCUGCCGGGACUCGCGGAGGCCAAACCACCUCACCCAGCCACUCUGCCACGACCCACGUCGUCAAUCAAUGCGGUGUCAAGCCGCAAGAUAAUUAAGUGGCAGCCGAUCGCCACAUGGCAGCCUCUUUCCACAGGAAAUGCCUACAGAUGACACCCGUCCUGCAACGUGUCAAGCGAGCAGGCGUGGAGCUGGCGAGACGGCCUGGCAAGGCUUGCCGGGCAACCAACGAUGUGACGUUGAGCGGCCCAUUUAAUGCGCUCUGUCAGCCUGCAGAGUUAGGUAUGAUAGCAUUGUUUGCUAUCUUAUCAGUGCAUAAUGACUGAUUUGCCAUUGUGGUGACCCCUUAAUCUGUAAAAGGAGGCCCAUGGCAACCGUAGAAAGGGUUGUUGGAAGGUUGCAGAACGCACACCCAUACGCGCGUAGCCACUGCCGCCCUUGCCGGCCAAGUGUACUACGCUCCGCCGCCAUUUUUCCACCAUCAAUCCACCAAAGCAGGAGUAGGGUUUUACGCCUCACGGUGGCCCGAACCUGGGUAAAAUUGCCUAUGUGAUCGCUGCCGCGCUGUCCCAGUUCUUCUGCUCUUUGUGCAACGCGACAUCCCCCUAAUGAACCAGCAAGGGGCCCUUGGUCCCAUAGGUGGCCGUUGUUCCCCACGACACCCCCCUCAUUAUCACAGCACCCGCUAUUUUAUGUGUAACUUCCCUCAUCAUUGCUUGUGUGGCAUGAAGGUUAAGAUCGAUGUCAUGCCUAACUACUCCUCGUCGUUGCCUGCCCCGGCCAAUGGCCCAAGUGCAACCAACACUUCCCUGCAUGUGCCUAUUUCUGCCAGUCACCUCUGUGCAGGCCAUAUGGGUUUAGCCUCACCAUCUUGCUUCUCAUUGCCGAUCUCAGUGCUUGAAUUCAUUUGCGCAGCCCCAGGCACAUGCGUACUUUAUGUAUAGUCAAGUAAUUAUUACUAGUAGUAAUUAUAUAUCUGUGAGUAAUUAUAUGUAUGCUUUCAUGUUUUUGUAUAUUUAUUUUGAUGGAUUCAUUAGAAAAAUAUUUUAGUUUUUGUAACUGUGAAUGACUAGAGGAGAGUUUCCUACAAUCCCUUUUCCAUUAAGUUUUUUCCAUUAAGUUAAACGAUGAGUGUUACAUGGGGGGCAGAAAAUCACAUAUUUACAUGCGGAGGAGGGGUGUUAGUAAGUCCUAAACAAGAAAGGUAAAAGAGAGAGGAAAGGAAAAACACUAAACAAGGGAAUACAAAGUGCCACUAGGGCAAAGUUAAGAAUAAAUGUGGAGAUGAACUCUCCAAGUUCAGCUUGGCUCUGUGCUUCAGCGUCCCAAAAAGUCCUCUUUAAACCUCCUCAACCAGGAUGCAUGUGAGUGGGGACUAUUUUUGAAUAUGAAACCAUUUCUGUCUUUCCAGAUGGACCAGGCUGCAACCACGAACAUGUCCAUAAACAUUGGCCCGGCCCAGUCGUUCUUGGCGUCAGACAGCCACCUAAAUCGGUCACCAUCUGUGCCCCAGUGUAUGUUCAGAGUGUUCCAACACCACGCGGAUAACGGGCAGUCGAAGAAACGAUGAUAAAAUAGUUUUUCAAAAUAAAGAACCAACUCUAGAUGAUAAAAGCAGAGUGAGGGGAAAUCAUGCAAGUUGUUACUCCGUUGUGCACUUGCUUCAACCGCAGGCGCAAUUGUGAGUCAUGGGAUCCAAACCGGAAGUGCCCACACCUGUUAUUUAAAUAAAUUAUUUUCACUCGGCGCAAAACAUAGCAUCCUUACAUCAGCAAACAAGAAAUAUAACAUCGCUCUGGCGGCCCGUGGCGGGGAGGGAAUCCUGGUGCCUCAGCUUCGGCUAGUCGAUGGGUUAGGAUUUUUAGUCCUCGCAUCAGUGGCACUUCUUUGUUGAGUCAACCUUUCGGGCAUCGAUUUUCCUCUAGUCCGCCAGUAGGGAAGGAUUAGACGGGGUCCGGCGUAGAGUCCUGCAAGCUCUCGGGGCGGCGAUGUUAGGCCCCAUGGAAAAUUAAAAAAAAUCUACGCACAUGCAAGAUCUAUCCAUCGAGAUGCAUAGCUACGAGAGGGGGAGAACAUCUACAUACCCUUGUAGAUCGCUAAGCGGAAGCCUUUAUCAACGCGGUUGAUGUAGUCGUACACCUUCACGAUCCAUUCCGAUCAAGUACCGAACGCACGGCACCUCCGCAUUCAGCACACGUUCAGCUCGAUGACGUCCUUGCCUUCUCGAUCUAGCAAGAGAGGCGAAGUAGUAGAUGAGUUCCGACAGCACGACGGCGUGGUGACGGUGGUGGUGAAACUGUUCCGCAGGGCUUCACCAAGCUCAACGGUUUAGGACGGAGGACGAACUAGAGGAAGGGGGGACGCCACACACGGCUUGGGGAUUCGUGGUGUGUAUUUUCCUCUCCUCUCCUCACAUAUAUAUAUAGGUGGAGGGGGGAGGCUGCCUAGGCGCGCCCCCAAGGGGGCCGGCGGCUGCCCUAGGUGCCUGCCCUAGCCACGCCCCCCUUUCCUUCUUAGGCGCGUGGGGGGAAGGCAGGAGGGAGCCCCCCCCCCCCCAUUCCUUUCCCAGCAUGGAAGAGAAGGAAAGAGGGGGUUGGCCCUCUUCCUUCCUUCCCUAGGGCCGGCUACCAUGAGGUGGGGGCGCGCCAGCCCCAUGUGGGCUGGUGUGCUCUCCCUCGUUGGCCUGUUUGGCCCAAUAUGCUCCCAUGGCCUCGGGAACCCCUUUCGGUGACCCGAUAAUUAUCCGGUGCAUUCCGAAACCCUUCCGGAGACCAAAUACUAUCAUUCUAUAUAUCAAUUACCUCCGGACCAUUCCGAAGCUCCCAUAUCCGUGAUCUUAUCCGGGACACGGAACAACAUUCGGUCACCAACAUACAUAACUCAUAUUAUACUAUAUCGUCAACGAACAUUAAGCGUGCGGACCCUAUGGGUUCGAGAAUGAUGUAGACAUGACCGAGACGCUUGUCUGGUCAAUAACCAAUAGCGGUACCUGGAUGCCCAUAUAGGUUCCUACAUAUUCUAUGAAGAUCUUUAUCGGUCGAACCUUUAUGACAACGUACGUAGUUCGAUUUGUCUGUCGGUAUGUUACUUGCCCGAGAUUCGAUCGUCGGUAUCUCCAUACCUAGUUCAAUCUCGUUAUCGGCAAGUCUCUUUACUCGUUCCGUAAUACAUCAUCUUGUAACUAACUCCCUAGUCAUUUUUCUUGCGCUUCUUGUGAUGCUAUAUUACCGAGAGGGCCCAGAGAUACCUCUCCGUCAUACGGAGUGACAAAUCCCAAUCUCGAUUCACGCCAACUCAAUAGACACCUUCGGAGAUACCUGUAGAGCACCUUUAUGAUCACCGAGUUACAUAGUGACGUUUGAUAGCACACAAGGUAUUCCUCCGAUAUCCGGGAGUUGCAUGAUCUCAUGGUCGAAGGAAUAUGUAUUUGACAUUAAGAAAGCAGUAGCAACAAAUUGAACGAUCAUUUGCUAAGCUAACGGAUGCGUCUUUUCCAUCACAUCAUUCUCCUAAUGAUGUGAUCCCGUUAUCAAAUGACAACUCAUGUCUAUGGUCAGGAAACCUUAACCAUCUUUCGAUCAACGAGCUAGUCUAGUAGAGGCUUACUAGGGACUUGGUAUUUGCUUAUGUAUUCACACAUGCAUUUAAGUUUACAAUCAAUACAAUUAUAGCAUGAAUAAUAAAUAUUUAUCAUGAUUGAGGAAAUAUAAUAAUAACCACUUUAUUAGCCUUUAGGGCAUAUUUCCAACUGUUUCCCACUUGCACUAGAGUCAAUAAUCUAGAUUACAUAGUAAUGAAUCUAACACCCAUGGAGUCUUGGCGCUGAUCAUAUUUUGCCCGCGGAAGAGGUUUAGUCAAUGGGUAUGCUACAUUCAGGUUCGUAUGUAUUUUGCAUAUUUCUAUGUCUCCAUCCGUGACCUUUUCACGAAUGGAGUUGAAGCGUCGCUUGAUGUGUUUGGUUCUCUUGUGAAACCUGGACUCCUUGGCUAAGCCAAUUGCUCCAGUGUUGUCACAAAAGAUUGUCAUUGGACCCGAUGCACUGGGUAUUACACCCAGAUCGGAUAUGAACUCCUUCAUUCAGACUCCUUCAUGCGCUGCUUCCAAAGCAGCUAUGUACUCCGCUUCACAUGUAGAGCCCGUCACAACGCUCUGGUUAGAACUGCACCAACUGACAGCUUCACCAUUCAAUAUAAAUAUGUAUCCGGUUUGCAACUUAGAGUUAUCCGGAUCUGUGUCGAAGCUAGCAUCGACGUAACCCUUUACGAUGAGCUCUUCGUCACAUCCAUAAACGAGAAACAUAUCCUUGGUCCUUUUCAGGUACUUCAGAAUAUUCUUGAUCGCUGUCCAGUGAUCCACUCCUGAAUUACUUUGGUACCUCCUUGCCAAACUUAUGGCAAGGCACACAUCAGGUCUGAUACACAGCAAGUCAUACAUUAUAGAACCUAUAGCUGAGGCAUAGGAAAUGACUUUCAUUCCCUCUCUAUCUUCUGCCAUGGUCAGACUUUGAGUCUGACUCAAUUUCACACUUUGCAACACAGGCAAGAACCCUUUCUUUGACUGGUCCAUUUUGCACUUCUUGAGAACUUUGUCAAGGUAUGUGCUUUGUGAAAGUCCUAUUAAGCGUCUCGAUCUAUCCCUAUAGAUCUUGAUGCCCAAAAUGUAAGCAGCUUCACCGAAGUCUUUCAUUGAAAAAUUCUUAUUCAAAUAUCCUUUUAUGCUAUCCAUAAAUUCUAUAUCAUUUCCAAUCAGCAAUAUGUCAUCCACAUAUAAUACCAUAAAUGCUACAGAGCUCCCACUCACUUUCUUGUAAAUACAGGCUUCAACGUAAGUGAGGUCCCAUGCGCCGCCCAGCUCGCCCACAUUAUAGCUUACCGCAAACGCGGUGCUCAGGACGCCCAAGUGCCGUAGUUGGUGCUGAGGUCCCAUGCGCCGCCCGUCUCGCCCACGUUGUAGGUUACCACAUGUUAGCUUAUAUAUUAGACCCGAGAUAUAUGUUAACAUGUGCUCCACUUAGAUAUGUAAUACUUCACUAAUUACAAGUUCAAAUGUAGCCUACAAAUACAUAUUUUCGAGACAAAUCAAACAAUCAUGCUAAUUAUAUAUCUAAUCUAAGUAUAAACCUCUGCCUGGUACAAGUCAAAGUUAUGCAAGUCUAGCUUAUGAAAUUCUAGAAUGAACAUGUUUCUUGACAAAUGUUGUAUGAGAGAGACAAUAAAAAUCUUUAUUAAAGAAGAAGCCCGAAUACAUACAAUCUACACAUAUAAUUACUUGGCUACAUGUAUACUUGCUAGUAAUAAUUACUUGACUAUACAUGACUUUAUACAUGUAUGUGCAGCUGCACAAAUGAACUCAAGCCAUGAGGCCAGCAACGGCAAGCAAGAUGGCGAGGCCAAAGCCCGUAGCCUCCACAGAGAUUGUGGCGGAGACGGGCGUCGGUGAGGGAGCGUUGCUUGCACUUGGGCCGCUGGCCGGGCUAGGCGAUGAAGAGGAGGAGCUUGGCAUGACAUCGAUCGUGACCUUCAUGCCACCCGCACAAUGGCCAGGGAAGCCGCAUAUGAAGUAGCGGGUGCCAGUGACGGUAAGGGCGAUGACAUCAUUCCCGGAGUUGAGGGUGGCAAUGGGGAUCGCAGUGCUGCAUGAGUCGUAGUCGGCCUUGCUGACCUCGAGGACAUCGUGCGCCUCAUGGGAGUACUUGAAGACGAUCUAGUCCUCGGGUUGGAAGUUCCUGGAGGACGCCCAUGUGCUGUAGUUGGUGCCGAGGUCCCACGCUCUACCGGGCUCGCCGACAUUGUAGAUUGCAGCCGAGGCGGUGCUCAGGAUGGCCAUCGCGGCCAUGGCAAGGAGAAUGGUUCUGGUGACGGCCAUGGCAGUAGGACCUGGAAGCACGGCAGUGAGAGCUAGCAGAGGAGAUACGAGUCGGAUGCUACUAUACUGAACCUUGAGGUCAGAUUGUGUUCCUUCUUUAGGUGUCUGUGUCGGGUCCUAUAUAUACAAACUCAUGGCCAGGUGGGUUGAAGAAACGCGUGCGGUAGGUGAAAGCGUAGAAUAUGGAGUACGCGGGAACACGAGGCUAGGCAUGCAGCUAGUACGUACUUGGUCAUAUACUCAAACACCUAGAUAGAUAGUAUAUAAUAAAUAAUAGACGGAAGAUGUUAAGACCUUUUCAAGCGUUCUCAUGGAGAGCUCCUGUUCGGCGCCUUAUGCGCCCGAACAGCUCCCUGGCGCCUGAAGGAGAUGUCUACUGGGCCGGCCCAGAAACCUUCGCUUGAUCGCUGCGCCUCUCAGCGAACAAGUAGAUCAACUACAAAAAACGAUAUUUUUUUGCAGGGAGUCGGAUUCGCACUCAACACCUCACCCUUCGCAUAUCAGUGCAUGAACCACUAGACCAUCAAACAACUUCUGUUCACAGACUUCGUUUUCCUUCUUUUAUCCUUUCUCCAGCUCGCAAAGCCCCUGGUGUGGCGAAGCGUCCCAAACCUUUUUUUUCUUUUUUUUUCUCUUUUUAUGUAAUGGUUUUAUUUGCCUUUUUCCUAAAUACGUGAAAUUUUCUAAAAAAAUCAACGGAAACAUUUUUUUAAAGAAAUGAACUUUUUUCAAAUUUGAAAAAAGUUCAUUGGUUUUUUAAGUUCAUCAAAAUUGAAGAAAGUUCAUCGAAUCUGAAAAAAAGUUCAUCGAAUUUUAGCAAAGUUCAUCGAAAUAUAAUAAAAGUUCAUCAUAAUUCAAAAAAAGUUCACUGAAUCUGGAAAAUAGUUCAUCAAUUUUUUGAAAAAGGUUCAUUGAAUUCGAAAAAGUUCAUCGAAUUAAAAAAAACCGUCGAAUUUGGAAAAAGUUCAUUGACUUAAAAAUGAGUUCAUCGAAUUUGAAAAAAGUUCAUCGCGUUUGCAAAAAAUUUCACCGAAUUAGAAAAAAGUUCAUCCAAUUUGAAGAAAAGUUCACUACAUUUAAAAAUAGUUCAUCAAAUUUUGAAAAAAGUUCAUCGAAGUUGAAAAAAAGUUCAUGAAAUCCGGUGAACAUUACGAAUUAGAAAAAGUAAAAAAAGCAAAAGAAAAAAGAAAAAGAAAAGAAGAAAGAAAAAGAAAAGAAGGAACACAACAGGUAAGAAAAUAUACUUGAUGAGAAAACGUUGAGUGGCGGGGUGGUUAUCACGUGGCACGCUGAACCGCUACCGCGCGUGUUCGAGUCCUCCCUGGUACUUCUUUUUUGCAUCAGUUUAGAUAGAAAGAAAGAACUUGGGCCGGCCCGCGUCGCGAGGGGGGGGGGUAUGCGCCCUCUACGAUUAACACUGUAUUCGGCGCUGAGGGCGCCGAAUAGGAACCAGCGUUCUCAUGGCAUAGCAGCCAGGGGCGGAGCUACAGGGUGGCCAGGGUGGGCCGCGGCCCACCCUGGGAUUUUGGGCCAGAUUAUUAUAUACCUAUGGAUUUUUAACCGGGCCAGAAAAAAAUCAGCCCAAAACACAUACCGAUUGAUCCAGCAGCGGAACGGAGCCACGCCCUCGUCUCAUCCACUGCAGGUCUGCAGCCGCCUCGUGCCCUCGUCUCGACGCCAUCUGGCCCUCGCCUCACCGCCGCCGUUCCUCGCGGCCUCGCCGGUCGCUGGCCGGAGCGGCGGAGCCCAGCCCGCCUCCCCUUCCCGCCCGGCGCUAGCCUGGCCCUGCCGCCCGCCCGCCCCUGCCUUGACCCGAGCCGCCUGUCGCCUGGCCCUGCCUCCGCCGGAGUCCGGCCCUCUGCCUCCCUGCAAAGCCGACGGCCGUCGGUGCCGCUCAGGCGCUCAGUAGCCAGUCUCCGAUGGCAGCACCGUAGCAACCAGCAAGUGAACACAUGCAUAUCAUGAAUUGAUGAACACAUGCAUAAUUUUCACAUCAUUUCUGUCUCAAUUAGCUUUAUUGAUAGAAACUAAUUUUUAUUGCAGAAUUGUUAAAGAAUGAAGAGGGGCGGAGACAUUGUUUCUCUAAAGAUAGGAAAGAAGAAGAAGGCAGGGAGAUGUGGCCGAAGAGCAAGCCGGAGAUGAGAAGUUUUCCUUGGAGUCAUUGAUCAAAUUAGUCAAGAGCUUGAAAAUUGGUUUAAUGAGAUUAAUAUGGAGUUGCUUUCUUGUAUGUCUGCUUUGAAUUUGGUGUACUUCUUCUAAAAUUGGUAUUGAUUCUACCGGUGGCAACAACAAAUGUUGAGAGAGCAUUUUCUGCUGUGAGUAUAGUUAAGAACAAGUUGAGAAAUAAGAUGGGUGAUAGUCUUUUGGAUGAUUGCCUAGUCACAUAUUGAGAGGGAUGCUUUUGCCGAGGUGAAUGAAGAUGAUAUAAUUGAUACUUUCAUGGCAAGGCAAAAGCGUAGGCCAGAAACAUAGCCUUUUUGAACUUCUCUAGGUAUGUAUUAUGAUCCAUAUAGUAUGCACUAUGUAUGCUUCUUUAUGCAAAACUUAAACUUAAUCGAGAAUUUUAGUGUGUUUGUAAGACAAUAAUGAUCUAUUUCUAUGUGAUAUUGGUAACUGGUUAGAACGUCCACAUGUCAUAUUUCUUGUAAAAAAAAUUGGGGGGGUCGGGCCACCCUGAUGUCAAAUGCUAGCUCCGCCACUGAUAGCAGCCAUUGCCUGCUGCUUUGCUUCAGUAUCGACGCGGUCUAGGCUCCAAGGAGACAUAGUUGACUAUAAUAACUCACAAACCUUGUAGAAGUAGAUCCAAAGGUCCAGCCGCAUUUAAACUCUCACUAUAGAAAAAAAAAUGUUCUCACUUCCUCUUAUUAAAACUGGCAGGCUUGUUGUAUGAAUUCCAUGUCACAACUUUCAACUUAAGAGGUAAUAGUCCUAUAUUAAAAUCAUGAAGUAAAUUUUUUAGACCGCGGAUUAAGCAGAGAAAUAAUGACCGACAUUGCAUCAUCCUGAAUUGCAAAAUAACAGCUUAAAAAAAAGAGUGAACGGAUAUUAUAUUAAAGUAAAUUUUAUGUAAUAAAAGGAUGGAUAUACAAUGGCGCCAACGAGGACUACUUUUGAUUAUAGUGAUGAAAAUUUUCUUGAAAGUUAAGUACACCGGACACACCCACCAACGUUGGAUAGACGUCUAUGGUCUAUUUGGACUAUUUGUGGUACAUGCUCAUAGCAUCUUUUUGCUAGGUAAGCCUUGAAAUUUCAGCAUUUUCUACUAACCCUCAUGCACUGUACAUUUUACUUCAAGGUGAAUUGAGGUUUAAAUGGUGAGAGCAGACGAUUUAUACACGGUGCCUGCUGGUCCAUAUUAUCCAGUCGGUCGCGUUUCUUGCAGAUCGGCGCCCAAAACAAAGUUAAAGCUGGCAGGGAAAGGGAAAACAUUUUAAUAAAAUAAGCGGUUAUUCCCUCAAAAUAAAAUAGGCGGUUAGCUAGUAGGGACCAUCUUGAUGAAUGUUCUUUACCUAAUGUCGAAGGUAUUUUUACAGUGGACGGGGCCAGGACAGGGGAAAUUUUGGUCCUUCACGGCGUCGAUAGUCAUCGAUCUCAGGGAAGAAUUCAUUCCCGAAAAGCACCCAUCACCGACUCCCAUGGCUCUCUCUCCCUCGAUAACGGUGACUGUCCCUUGCAACACUAGAAACAAGAACAUGUAUGGCACUCCACGAGCAAAGGACGGGAUUUUUGCCCAGCCGAAUUUCAUCCAGUAUGUUUCGGGUUGGGGGCAUCCUAAUUGUUCUCCACCAUUUGUGGCAGCUGGUUCUUGGGGACAGUUCAUUUACAAUCAGGGGCAAUACAAAUUACAUGUCUAAUCUAAGUAUAUAUUUCUGUAAUACAAGUUUAAGUUACGAAAGUGUUGGUUCUCACGGUUUAGCAAGAACGUGUGUCAAGACAAAUAUUGUAUAAGACCAAACGAAUUUUUAUUAAUCUCCAAAAUGAAUCAGCAAAACGCAAAACCUGAAUAUGUCCAACAUACACAUAACUACUUGACUAUACACACAUAUAGUUGCUAGUAAUAAUUACUUGACUAUACACAAAGUACACAUGUGCCUGCGGCUGCAGAGAUGCACUCAAGCCAUGAGGCCAGCAACGGCAAGCAAAACGGCGAGGCCAAAACCGGUGGCCUCCACAUUGGUGGCAGCGGAGGCAGGGGUCGGCGGGGGAGCAUUGCUUGCACUUGGUCCGCUGGCUGGGGCGGGUGACGAGAAGCCAGACAUGACAUCGAUCUUGACCUUCAUGCCACCCGCGCAAUGGCCAGGGAAGCCGCAAAUGAAGUACCGGGUGCCGGAGGCGGUGAGGGUGACGACAUCAUUCCCAGAGUUGAGGGUGGUGAUGGGGCUGGCGGUGCUGCAGGAGUCGUAGUCGGCCUUGCUGACCUCGAGGACAUCAUGCGCUUGAGGGGAGUACUUGAAGACGAUCUGGUCGUCGGCUUUGAAGUUCCUGGAGGACGCCCAUGUGCCGUAGUUGGUGCUGAGGUCCCACGCUCCGCCGGGCUCGCCAACGUUGUAGAUCGCCGCUGACGCGGUGCUCAGGAUGGCCAUUACAGCCACGGCGAGAAUGGUUCUCGUGACAGCCAUUGAGGUUUGAACUGCAAGGAGAGCUAGCAGAGGAGAUUACAAGGGAGGUGCUGAUGUAUUGGUCCUUGAGCGGGGAAUGUGUUUGCUUCCUUAGGUGGCGGUGUCCGGUCCUAUAUAUAGGACAAUACAGUCCGGGUGGGACGGAGAAACAUGUGCGGUUGGUGGAAACGUAGAAUGGAGUGCGUGUGCCUGGAUAUGGGACUUUGAAUGUUGUGUGUAGUAGGUGGGAACACAAGCAAGCUAGGCAUGCAGCUGGUACGUACUUGAUCAAAAUUGACUCAGUUUGUGAAGACCGGGCUGUGCUGUUAGCCUGCUGACCAUUUCACGCGUUCUUUUCCUUUUUCUUCAAUAUCGACGCGGUCUACAAGACAUGACGUAGACUAACACGAUCCACAUACCUUCUGACGUAGAUGCUAAAAUGUUGACAAAUCAUUUUUUAUUAGUGGAUUCGACAUAUUAAAGAGACCCUAAAAUGUUGUUGUCGGAAUUAUUUAAUUAUAUGUACUAAUUCAAUAUGAAGUACAAAUGGUACAUUUGGUCACUAUAAUGUUAAACUAUAUACCUAUAUUAAAAAGAGAUUUUUUUUUUAGGGAAUAUAUAAAUAAGAGCUUUUUUAUCACAUAGUAGAAAAUGGGGGUCCUACUGAUUUGGAGGCCCUGUGCAGCCGAACACUCUACACAGGUGCGUGGUACGGGCCUGCCGUCGGAGGCCUGUUGCAUGCCUUUAUUAGGAUCGUGCCUUGAAUAGGUUACAUGGAGGAUAUAGAGGCCAAGAUCCAAACGAAUUUCUACCAUUGCGGCCAAGAUAAACAUGGCCUUUCGUUUUAGAUAAAAUUUACUUGAUUGCAGGCUGGAAGCUCCAUUUUUACCAGUUUUAAAUUCCUAAUUGUAUGUGGUAUGAACGCUUUAAUUCUUGAUUUUGAUGCUCGUCUUUUAAGCAAUACAUAUCACUUGCUUUCUAUGUUGAUAGUUGUGACUUGUUUUGUUGGAACAAUGUUGUAACUUUUUGUAACACUGAAGCAGUAAUUUAAUUAGUUGUAGCGUGCAACUCAUGUAUUAGAAAGCUGGAAAUUAGACCGGAGAAAUCUAUCCAGCACUAGUAUCAAAAGUAGUCCUCGUCACCAUGAUAUAUCUAGGUUUUCCAUCAACAAUGACCGAAGGAGAGGAUCCGCAUGUGAAUGAAUUACUCAAAGAACCACAAAGUGAUGAAACUUUAAUUACAAGUUUGCGUGUGAGGAGAGAUUUUAUUGUUCAUUGUUUUUGAGAUAGCUCACCAGUCAUGCCAAAUGGUAGGAGAGAUAUUCCCGCCAAGAUAUAGUGGAUAUUUGUAAACUUUAAUUCAGUUUAAUAAUGCAUCGCACUAUAUUAUUUCACUCGAUGACGUUAUUUUGCAAUCCAGGAUGAUGCACUGUGGCUCAAUUGCAGGGCUCAACAUGCCAGCUGAUAGCUCCAUUCUACCAAUUCUAAACGUGUUUUUUUGUGUGUGUGGAUGUAAUUUAAAACGUGUUAACUUAACUGUAUAUGUUAUGAAAGCUUUACUUCUUGAUUUGAACAUUGGAAUUUUGUUCAUCGUUCUCCUUCUAAAUUGGAGGUCGUGACUUCUUUUGUCGUUGAAACUUGAAAGGUGUAAAAGAAAUCACUAAAGGUUGUAACAUAAUUAGUUCUAAAGUGAUAUUCAGGUAGUAAUGACGAAAUAUUGAAUAAACGAAGUUAAAAGUUUUUCUUUUUUGAGAGAAGAGAAGUUCGAGUUGAAUGCUGAUCGACGAACCCUUGAUGUACGUGAGCAGGGACAUGGAUUGUGAUAGUCUACAUCGCGUAGACCGCGUCGAUACUGAAGAAAAGAAAAGGCAAUGCGUGAAGCAGUCAGUAGGCCCGGUCUUCAGAUCUUCCGUCGAUCUAUUAUCUAUUAUAUAUCUAUACGUGUUUGACUAUGAUGACCAAGUAGUAGGUGCAUGCUGCCUAGCUUGCUUGUGUUCCCACAUAAACAUUCAAAGUCCAAAAUUCAGAUAUAUGUAGUCUAUUCUACGCUUCCAGCCUUCCACCUACCGCACACGUUUCUUCAACCCAGCUGGGCAUAGCCUGUAUUGUAUAUAUAGGACCCGACACAGACACCUAGAGAAGCAAACACAAUCUCCGCUCAAAGGAUCAACACAGCACCUGUCUUACAAUCUCCUCUGCUAGCUCUCCUUUCAGUUCCAACCGCAAUGACUGUCAUGAGAACCAUUCUCCUCGCCGUGGCCGCGAUGGCCAUCCUGAGCACCGCAUCGGCGGCAAUCUACAACGUCGGCGAGCCAGAUGGUGCAUGGGACCUCAGCACCAACUACGGCACCUGGGCGUCUUCCAGGAACUUUCACCCCAGCGACCAAAUCAUCUUCAAAUACUCUCCUCAGGCACACGACGUCCUCGAGGUCAGCAAGGCCGACUACGACUCCUGCAGCACUGCUAGCCCCAUCGCCACCCUGAACUCCGGGAAUGAUGUUGUCUCGCUCACUGCCACCGGCACCCGCUACUUCCUCUGCGGCUUCCCGGGCCACUGCGCCGGGGGAAUGAAGGUCAAGAUCGAUGUCGUGCCAAGCUCGUCCUCUUCCUCGCCGGCCCCGGCCAGCGGCCCCAGUGCAAGCAACGCUCCCCCGCCAGCUCCUGUCUCAGCCGCCACCUCUAUGGAGGCCACAGGGUUUGGCCUCGCCGUCUUGCUUGCCGUUGCCAGUCUGAUGGCUUGAGUGCAUCUCUAAAAAAACAUAGAAGUCACUGUUUACUAUCAAGCAUACGUGGUGUACAUGUAUAGUCAAGUAAUUAUAUCGUAUGUUGUAUGUAUUCAGGCUUCACGUUUUGCAUAUUCAUUUUGGAGGAUGAGUAGUAAAAAUUAUUUUAGUAUUAGUACAAUAUUAGUCCCGAAACAUGUUCGCCAACCAUAAAAAGCCACCCUCAGCUCUGGAAUCAUGUCAUACCCCUCAUUAUCACAGCACCCGCUAUUUCAUCCGUAACUUCCCUCGCCAUUGCAUGUGUGGCAUGAAGGUCACGAUUGAUGUCAUGCCUAACUACUCCUAGUGUCGCCUGCCCCGGCCAACAGCCCAACUGCAACUAACACUUCCCAAUGUGUCUAUAUCUGCCGUCACCUCUGCGGAGGCCAUGUGGUUUAGCCUCGCCAUCUUGCUUCUCCUUGCCGAUCUAAUUGCUUGAAUUCACUUGCGCAGCCCCA
rnacentral:lncRNA from 1 species